GAAGAUGUUAGAGAUGGUGUUGAUGCUAAUUUGUUUGGAAAGCAAGGCCUAAGAAAAUUAUUCUUGCAUUGGGAUAAAGAUUUUGGAAUUCUUCGGAAUGAUAAGCGCGAAUCACGGGUGCUCGAGUCUUUGCAACCUCCCAUUGAUAUUGAAAAUCUCACUAUUUUGAACUAUGGUGGUGCAAUAUUCUCGUCAUGGUUAGAUGGUUCAUCAUAUUCUCGGAUAGUGUCUUUGAGCUUGUGGAACUGUCCUUAUGUCACAUCAUUGCCUUCGUUUGGACAACUACCUUCAUUGAGAGAAUUAUCUCUUAAAGGUCUAAAUGCAGUAAGAAUAAUAGGCUCUAUUUUUUUAUGGAGGUGAUAGGCCUUUUUCUUCCUUAAUUACUUUGUAGUUCGAAGAGAUGUUGGCAUGGAAGGAUUGGUCUCCUUAUGCAGGGGGCCAAAAGAAGAAGUCCCAUUCUCUUGUCUUGAGCAUCUUAUUGUCCGGAGCUGUCCUUCGUUGGUCAAGACAUUGCCUUGUCAACUUGAUCGUCUUAUAAAGCUUGAAAUUCAUUCAUGCCAACAAUUGAAUAACUCAACCAGUGAGUUAUGUCUUCCAUCUCUCGAUGAGUUAUACCUUGAGGAUUGUAGUAAGGAGAUCUUAAAGAGCUUGUUCAAGCUAACUUCUUUGACAAUUCUCAAAAUUAACAAACUCAUAGAGCUUGUUUCCUUUGAUCAUCGAUUUAUGAGUUGCUUGGGCAAGCUAAGGAAGCUUCAUAUAGGAUUGUGUGACAAGCUAACAUGCUUGUGGCAAGAUGGAAAUGAAACGCAAAAUCUCACUUGCCUCCAGGAAUUAACCAUUAAAAGCUGUGCUCGAUUCACAUCUUUUGUGGCAGGAGACAGAGAGAUAGAGCUACCAUGUAAAUCUUGAAAGGAUGGAAUUGGUGGAUUGCACAAGUUUAGAAAAGCUUCCGAGCAAAAUGCACGCACUUAGACAUUUGGUGAUUGAGAAUUGUCCAAAAAUCAUGGCUCUAAACAUUCCUCAAGGUGACCCUUGUAGCAAUAAUUCGAUUUCUCAACUUGAAUCUUUUAAGAUACGUCACUAUUAUGCUUCUCCGAUAUCCUUUUCAUUUGCCAAGGGUAGACUUGCUGCUCUGAAGGCACUUCAUAUAGACAAUUGUAAGGGAGUGGAGUCGUUGGAAGGGAUUGUCGUAGAAUCGCUUGAAAUAAUGACAAUUAACGAUUGUCAAAUUAUGGGAAGCUUACCACAGUGCCUUCACAUGCUCUCCCAUCUCACUCGAUUGCAUAUUUAUAAUUGUCCAGCAUUGGAGAUAGAGGACUUCCCUCCCCUUCCCUUAACCCUCUCGAGUCUUGUUCUUAAUCAUUGUUCUAAGAUAAAGUCUAUUGCCAACUGUAACAUUGCCAACUGUAACAAUCUCACUAAAUUGGAAAUAUGGGAGUGUCCGAUAUUGGAGAUAGAGGACUUCCCACCCCUUCCCAUCACCUUGUAGAGGCUUAAACUUUGGGAUUGUCCGAUGAUAAAGUCCCUGCCAAAUAAGUGGCAUCAUCUUACAUCCCUCCAAGAGCCAUUUAUUCUCGUUUUCCAAAAUAUCAAAUGCUUACCCAAAGGAGGUUUGCCUCCCAAAUUGCGAAAGCUUGUUAUUUCGGGGCUCGUGGAUCUGAAGCAACCAGUGAGAGAGUGGGGCUUACACCUGCUCACAUCUCUCGAGAGUCUGAUCGUUGAGUUUAACAUGGGAGGGGAGGGAGAGAAGGAGUGGUUUCCUUCGGAGGAUGAGGAUGCUUGGAGUCUCUUUCCUUUCUCUCUAACCUAUCUUUCGAUAUAUGAUUUGAGAAAAGCGAAAAGACUAUCGAGCGGUCUUCGCAACCAUCUCUCCUCUCUCAAGUAUUUAACGAUUGCAAAGUGCCCCAAGUUGAGGUACUUGCCAGAGGAUGGCUUCCCUCCCUCCCUCCAACAAUUGCGCAUAUAUCGAUGCAAGAUUUUGAAAGAGCGAUGUGCAAAACUCACUGGCAACUUUUGGCCCCUCAUCGAAGAGAUCCCUAAUAUCGAGAUUGAUGACUAGCCGAUCUACACUAUAGUCAGUUUUCUUAGGGAUCAGGUAAGUUAUUUUUGGUUUUGAAGGCAUCCUUUUCCAUUCUACUUUCUCAAUUCGAUGCUCAGUACGAACUAAUGUUUGGGUGGGGGAUCUCGUUGGGUUGGAUUAGCUCUGUUUCGUUGGACAAUGAACUGUAGGAUGAAAUGCUCGCAAUGCUGCCUCUUGCUAUGUUGAUGACAUAUCCUUAUUUCUAAUUGAUGCCCAAACCAUUGGUGAAUGAAAUCGCACCAUCACGAAGAAUCAUAGCAUUCCACAAUCAUAGUCCUCUGCAUUUUCAGCGUCUAUUGUCUAUUCUCUUCCCAACAUCUUUUUUACUAACUAUAAUGUAGGCCUUGCAUAGCUUGGUCAAAGAUUAUAUUUCAUCCUUCUUUUAUUCAAAUACAUGAGAAUCAUGAAGAUUCAAUGGUGUUCCACAAUCAUAUUCCUCUGCAUUUUCAGCAUCUGUUGUGUGCUAUCUUCCCAACAUCUUUUUCUCGUGCCCUAGUUCAUCCACUUUGAUUGUUUUGCAAGAUGCCAUUGUCAUAUGUAUUGGCAAAAUUUCCUGGAAGGAUCACUUGUGAAAAUUAUUGAGGUAGGGUUGUGUUGUCAAUGUUAUGUGUCAUUUUUAACAAUUUACAAGAAAGGAAGAAGCAGUUAAAUUUAUUUGGUGCACUGAUAUGCUAUAAAUUUUCUUCUUGUGAUUAUUAUCCAAAUAAGAAUUAUCUCUCUCAAAAUCUAAAAAUCAAAUUAGUCAUGUGGAAGCUGUGAUAUGAUUGUGAAGAAAAGGGAUGCAAUUUUUAUUUUUUUUUAAUUAUGGUUUUCUUUAGAAUUGAGAACCUUCUUUUUGUUGAUGAUGAUCCUUCAUAGUAUUAAGCAGUCUAUUUAGGGUGCUCAUGGCUCUAAGCUUUCAAUGCAACACAAAUUCAUGAUAGGAUCGAUAUUCAUAAACCACCUUAUUUUUAGGUCUUGAUCUCUAUUGAGUUAGGAACUAUUACCUACAACUUGCUAGAAAUUUUUAGCCAAUAUACUCAUGCUUAUUUGGUUGAGACGGUAACGAUAUCCUACCUGCGUCUAGGUUUGCAUUGUCAGUAAUGACCUCUGGGGCAAAUCUUGUCAGUUCUUUAAAUUCGUCAUACACCAUGUCGUUGUAUCUAAAAUUACCUUCUUAUGUGGCAUUCUUCCUGAGCUCACCUGGGUUCCUUGGUCUAACUGGAAAUCCUGCACUUCAUCAAUGUAUACCUUGUCUAGAUCAUCUUCUCUCUCUUUGCUACUGUUGCGCAUGUUAAAAAAAAAAAAAAAAUCAUGCAAUUUUUUUGUGAUAUCGUGAAGCUGUAUUGGAGGUUAGUUGAUAUGUAAUCUCAAUUGUGGUUCAUUGUGUACUUUCUCUGAGGCUUUUUGGAUGUUAUUGCACAUAUAACAUGGUGCUUUGACCAUGUACAUAGGUGGUUAGAUAAGCAGAGUUGCAUCUGCCAAGAUAACUUUCAAGAAACCUCACAUAGUUCUGCUUGACAAGCCAUCCAAUCAUUUAAUUGGUUUACUCAUUUUUCUUUUUCAGUUAGCUUGUUAUUGUUCUUGCACCAUUUGAACUUAUUGGAAUAUGGUCUUUACAUUGAAAAUACAGUAAAACCAAUCAAUGAUCACAGCUACAGGGAGCAUUUGUCAUUGUACAUCUAACUUACAAUGGAAUAGAGAGCAAUCUAGUUUUUCCAACUUGCAAAAUGUUGGGAAUAGAAUGGUUCUGCUAGCCUGAUCAGUGUGUUUGUAUUACAGUAAUCUAUGAUACUACCAAGUAGUUCCUAUGUUUGUGCUUCGAGGUAGUGUUGGGCUUUGCACAUAAUGAAUGUGGACCCUUUUCUUGCUUAUAAAUGUUCCCUCUUAGUUUUGCUUUAAUGAGUAGUGACUACUCAAGUGUCAUCUUUGUAAAUCGUUAGUUUCUUGUCUAGAAAUAGAUAUGAUCCUGCCUUUUCCACUAUACCCAAUUGUAGGAUUUGGAUGAGGCACUCAUUCAAGGUCUGGUCUUGUUUCUUGGAUGGAUCAUUUCGCAGCUGACAGCCCUCUUUUCGCCUUGAUUUGCAGGUUAGUCUCGAUGAGCAUCUAAUAUCUAGAAGCGUAGACAAGCUAUUGGUGGUUUCUCAAGGCAAGGUGGCGGCUUUCCAUGGGAAUUUCCAGGAAUAUAAGAGUUUGGAUGUCCUGAGGGUAUCUCUGGGGUUAUUGCCUUCAUCAUCUGCACUAACGGUGGAGGACAAACAUCCCAAAAUGAAGUAGAAAUUGGUUGAGCUCGCCCAAUCUCUGAAUGCAGCAUGUGUGGAAUAACGAAUUUAUCAAGUCGAUGCAUCUUCUAUAACCUUAACGUCCGGCUAGGAAAGAGAGAAUCUCCCGGACAACAAAUUCCUUCCAAAGAGCCACCAAUUCCACCGGUUCCCCACAAAAGUAACACUCGAGGAUACAAUCGUGAAAGAGGGAAAAACCCUAGCCUAAGCUCGUCGGAUGCAGGCGACGAACUAGAGCCGCCGGUAGAGCUUCCGGAGGUGACGGCGGAGGCGGAGGCAGAGGCAGCGACGUGGUCGGGAGUGACGAGGAAGACACCUUCGCUGUAAUGGGAGCGAAGCGCGCGCACGGAAGGUUCAAGCUCGAGCUCGCUGGGCCCAGAUGGCAUAUCGGAGCCGCUGAUGGGCUCCGGAAUGCGACGAGCGGAGGCGGGGGCGGAGGCGGCGGCGCAGUUCGUCCGAGGAAUAGAGAGGAGCCUGGGAUUGAGAGGGAAGAGAGCGAGGGAGAGGAGAGAGAGGGAAUUUCAAAAUAUCUUUUAGGUGGGAUCCUACUGUACAGGUGGUGAGACUUGAGAGAGAGAAGGAACACUUUUUAUAUGCCGGCAAUAAAAAAGAUCUCAAAUUCCGCUCAAGCUACUCAUAUUCCCUAAGUCACUAUUUCAAAACCUACAAAGUAAUUUAAUGCGUGUCUUGAUAAAUAAAUAAAUAAGCAAAAGACAUAGUAACUUAGUAUGAAUUGGAGCAAAUGAUCGGUAACCUCACAUGUGGAUUACAGUUAGCUUUACCGGUUCUUUGUAUUUGCCUCUGUUGGCACAUGAAUUUUCUCGAAAAAAUCAAGUAUUGCAUUUUUUAAAAUAGAUAAACAAUAGUAAUAAGAACAAAAAAUAGAUAAACAAAUUAACAAAUAACAAAAGAAGAAGAAGACGCGGAAGGAGGAGGAGGAGGAGAAAAAAAUAAUAAAGCCUCGGCCCUAUUCAGUCCAGUCCAGUCCAGUCCACAAAGCCCAUUCAAAUCCACGGCCUCAAUCCAUCAGCCCAUUCGUUGAUUGAAAACGGUCCUGAACUGAUUUUGUACGACUUUGGUCUCAAAUCCGAGUUCAGCGAUGCCUCCUUUAAAUCCUCACUCGAUGCACGUAAACUGUUCGAUGAAAUGUCGCUGAGAUAGGGUUGUGUAAUGGUUCUUCCAUAAUUGUCUAAUCUUAAGGCAAAUUGACAUAGUUUACAUGAUAUUUUUUGUUUUUUCUUUUAGCUGUUAGGCAUGAUUUGUUAGACACGUAACCUGCAUUUCAUUUGUUCUGCGUUUCGCAUGUUCGUUUGGCUACAUUGCUUCGGCUAGUCGUUGCAUUAGAUUAAUGCCAAAAAAUUAUGUCGGCGUCAUUAUUCACUAGGCGACAUGGAGACCAUACCCAUCCGAUCGAUCCAUCCUCCAAACGGAAUUCCUUUCGCCAACAGAUAAUAUUUGGUUUUCCAUCUAAUCGUGUUCCAUGGCAAUUCGAACAGGAAGUGGCACGCGUAACCAAAAACUAGAAUUAAUUACUCUAGAACAAAGUUAAAAUGCAGGAAGUAGAAAAUUAAGUCAAUAAAUUGAAAGAUACAUAAUUUGAAUUGAUGAUCUUGUAUCCCUUGCACAAAUAAUCCAACAUGGCUUAUAUAACCCUAUCGCUAGACGUAACCGCUCCUAAGUGGUCAGUAUUCAAAUUAAAGGUUACAAACUGCAACUCCAUGAUCUUAGGCUCUAUGAACAAAUUCCAUGAUUGCACAUUAACUUUAUCCAUAUGCGGCAGUGAAAUCAAAUAACACAUUUCCACAAUGUUGGCGUACAAAACUUGAUUCGGUUUUCAAAUAACAUGUUGUGAAAUCUUCACUUUUGUGGUCUUGGGUUCAAAUCUUAUUGGAAGCGCUCCAGAAGUAAAAUUCUGAGUGCAGUAGGCUGAUGUCUGCAAGUACCUCCUUACAUAUCACUUGGAGUGGUGGAUCAAUCUAAAUGCACAAAAACUGGCCAGGACACUAUUUUAACACUAAAACCGAAAAAGAAAUGAAAGGAAGAAGCUUCAACUACAUUUUUGGUCUCUCUCUCUCUCUCUCUCUCUCUCUCUCUCUCUCUCUCUCUCUCUCUAUACCGGCGGUGGCAACAAUGUGAAGAAAAACGAAAGAUGGUAACAAAAACUGAUUAGGAAAAGUUUAGAAAAUUGUCAAAAAAAUUUACAAAGAUUGGAGUAAGUUAUCAUAUGGAUUUGUAAGUGGGUUUCAAGUGCCAAGCCUUUCUGUAAACAGAGCACCAGGGCCACAGGCCCAAUCAAAUGAGACCAAGAGCACUUUGCCUAAGUCCAUGAAUCAAACGGAACCAUAUAGCAUCGGCAAAACAGGAAAAUCAAACAAUAAAAAAAAAUUAUAAUAAAUUUAAAAAAAUGACGACGAUGAUGAUGAAAAUUCUAACUUGCUUUUACGUUAUUAUUACUUUAAUUUGUUUACGUUCUUGUGUUUAAUAUCAUUAUUGAAACCGUAGGCAAUUAUCCUUUGCCAAAAUUAGACUUUGACUUGAUUUUGAAAAUUAGCUCACUGGUCGAUGUCCCCAAACGUAAUAAUAAAGCAAUGUAUACUUUGCUCGUCUCGUUUCGGAUUUACUUUCCACACUUUAUUUUUACUCGUCCUUUAGUAUCAUUUUGAUGUGUCAUGCUGUUUUCAUUAUAUUGAUUUCGUGAUGUAAUUUCUUUAGAUUCAUUCAAUGAGUAUAUUACACUUUAGAGUCAAUCUUGAUCAAACAAGCAUGCAUGGACACGUUGUGGAGAAUACUACUACGUGUAAUCAUAUCUUUGAAUUCUCUAGCUUAUAUAAAGUAACGUGUUUUCCCGUUAGCUCCUAACUGGUUCCAAUAGGCUAGUAAUGAGUAUAUUUCUCAAUGUUAUGUGCGGUUAGGAUUUCAAAGAGCUCACACCGAAGGAGAGGGAUCACACGUUCCCGUUCAAUAAGCUAUUAAACCCACUCAUCCCGCUCGGGAGCAUCGCAAUAGCCUCUGACUGCCUUUGCACUUACUAUCGGCAUUUCAAUUUUUACCAAAAUAUUACGAAGGCAAUUUAAAUUCAGCAUCUUAUCAACUCGAUUGAAUCUGUCUCAGUAUUGUGUUGAUCUUGAAUCACUUGAGUCAGUUAGAAUGUUCUGCCCUCUCGGAACCAGAUCGUCUUCUCUGCCUGCUGCUCCUCUCUGCAACUUUGACCUUCAUGGUCGUAUCUGUUUGGGAAUGACUGAUCCCCGAAAACCGGAUUCGACACCGAAUCGAAUCCCUAAAUCAAUGCGGAAGACGAAGCCCGGGAAAAACACGUAUCACCGAUCGUAAAGCACACCGCGGAGUCGAGCGUACCUUGUUAGCCACAGAUUAAACACCGUCGUCAAUGGAGGAAGAGAGUCCAGUCGAUGAAGCCUUGAAGGGAAGAAAUUGGAAGCCGUAUGCCUUACUGUUCUUCGGGAGAGAAAACGCGCGGGAGAGAAGCGUACGUUGAUUGUGCCAAAGGGUGCUUCUCUCUCUCUCUCUCCUCCCUUUUAUACCUUCCCCCAUCCACGGGCCCUAUUCCCGUGGGCCGGGCUUUUUGGGCCCAACUUGGGCGGACGGGCCAACUCAGGCCCAUCUCAUAAAUCCAUCAUCUCCCACUCGCACAUGGUGGUACAAAACCAACAUGGGCGGACAGGCCCUACUCAGCCUCAUCAAAGAAAAAUCCAUCAUAGACUUUCUCUUAACACGGUGGGCCGAACAGAAUUCUCUUUUACUCUCUUCAACAUUCAUACCAGUGAAUAAUCCGUGCGACCAGCAUACUUUGAGAGCUCGUUACUAUACAUAUGUUAGGAAUAUAUAGCAGCUCAUAAUGAGCGUCACACUCCGAGUAGAUUUAGUAUGCAGUACCCUAGAUCGAUCGAUCACAUUUAUAUCUCUCUUGAUCUCUUUCAAACAAUGAUAUAUUGUAUUCACAAUUAUGAUUAUCACAAAAACAGUCAUAAUUGGUUAACCGGUGAAUACAAAACUACAAUUUGAUUCUCCAAAAUCAAUCUUCCUCUUCCCUUCAAACUCUCAAUUUCAGUUCGGCUUGCUUUUCUAGAAAUGCCCCAUUAGAUCGCAUCAAACUCAUGACCAUUGGCAACAUCCUAAGAUAGCAAACACUAAAUAGAAAUCUUAAGAAUAAGUAAGAGUCAUGAGAGGACUAAAAAAUUGAGGAACUCUUUUCCUCAAGAGUCUCACACGACAUAAAAAAAAGUUGAGAUCAAACUUUUGCCACUCUUAUUGGUCGUCUCAUGCAUACGUAGUAUGAAAUACGUAUUACGGUAUUAACUCCUUUCCCAUGGAGCGUAUGUCUACACCUUUCAAUACCGUACAGAUGAUAGUUCAGACAUACCCAAUGUCUAACUUGAGUUCACGUAUCUACUCAUUUACAAAAUUCAUCAGAACUCACAUCUGGCAUCAUAGACAGAUAAAGUAAAAUAUGUGGGGUAUUUUACUCUCGGACAUAGUAAGUAUUAUGUCCUCAUCUUAACACCCAGUUAAGGCGACAUACGUGUUUUAAGCUUGAGCUCUCGAUUAUCACCUAGAUAAUAAGCUUAAAAACAGUCUCAUCUCUAUUUAUCACAUAGCAAAUAGAGGCGAUUACUCGUGUGAGUGGGCUAAUCUUUUAUCUGUCCGACAUACUUCUUAACUUAAAAAUAAUACACUGAGCAUUAAGAUGCAUAAAGAUCACACAUAGAUUCAUAGACAUUAAUGAUGAAAACACAAAUUCAUCAAAUGUGAACAUUUAGGGAAAUUACAAUAUUCAGUACAUCAACCUCUACGCAAUCCUAGAGAUUUCAUAUAGCCACAAAACACAUCUCUAGGUAUUGGCUUUGUCAUAGGAUCUGCUACCAAUCUUAUGCGUAGUAUGUACUUUUAGUUCACAUCAUUUCGUGCAACCAUAUUUUAAACAAAGUUAUACUUGGUAUCUACAUGUUUGGUCUUGCCUUGAUAUUUUGGAUCUUUGGUGUACGCUUUUACUACUUGGCUAUCAUCGUUAACUAAUAACGAAUCUGCAGCACUUCCAAUAACACCUAAAUGAUCCAAUAAUCUCUUAAGCCAAACAUCCUCAUAUACUGCUGCUGAUAAUGCCACGGACUCAGUUUCCAUCGUGGACAAGGCUAUACACUGUUGUUUCUUACUGCUCCAACAAAUGGUGCCAUUAUUCGGUAAGAAAACAAACUAAGAGAUAGAUUUUCUUUCAUCUAAAUCUCCUUCUCAAUCAGCAUCAUAAUAGCCUUAGAGUCGCAGAUCCUUUCCUCAAUGACUCAGCGUAUAAUCAGCAGUCCCCUUUAGAUACCUUAGUAUUCUUUUAACGGCUUUCCAAUGUGCUUGACCUGGAUUGGAUUGGUAUCUACUCACCAUUCCAACUGCAUAACAUAUGUCAGGUCUUGUACACAUCAUAGCGUACAUCAAGCUCCCAACAGCAGUAGCAUGAGGAACAUAUUUCGUUUGUUCCUUCUCUUGUGGAAUCCUUGGACACAGUCUAUGGCUCAAUCCUUCACCUUUUGCAAUAGGAGUGUCUUUGGGUUUACUAUCCCAUAUCCUUCAACUCAAAGUUGGAAGACAACCGACUUUUGACAAUAUUGACAGGCUCCAUAUUGCUUCCGGCAAUUGGUAUAUCAUCAACAUAUAAUGAUAUGAUCACAAAUUGAUCAUUGGAUCUUUUGAUAUAUACACAAUGAUCCUCAUCUAUCAUUGUAAAAUCAUAUGCCAUUAGGGUAUUAUGAAAUCGUAUAUACCAUUGUCUUGACGACUGCUUAAGGCCAUAUAUCGACCUCGAAAGUCGACAUACCUUUUCUUUUUGGCCUUUCACUAUGAAACCAACAGAUUGUUCCAUAUAUGUUUCUUCCUCUAAUUCUCUAUUGAGGAAAGCAGUCCUCACAUCCAUUUGAUGUAACUCAAGAUCCAUACCAAACACUAUUGCCAGAAUUAUGCGAAUCAAGGUAAAUCACACUACAGGAGAAAAUGUAUCUACAUAAUCAAUAUCUUCUUGUUGAUUAUACCCCUUCGCCAUAAGGUGAGCCUUAUGCCUUUCUAUCGAGCCAUCAGUCUCUCGCUUUAUUUUGAGAACCCACUUGUUCCCAAUAGUUUUGUGUCCUUUUAGAAGAUCAACCAGUUCCCAGACUUGGUUUGAUUUCAUUGACUCCAUUUCCUCUUUCAUUGCAUGAAUCCAUUUUUCCUUAUUAGGGCAAUUCAAAGCCUCAUUAAUAUUUCUUGGCUCAUACUCAUCUUGUGGAGCAACCAUAAAAGUUUCCCUUUCAAUGUCAAAACAUCGACGGGGAAUACUUUGGCGACUUGUUCACCGUAUGGGAGAUUGUACACUUAGCACAUCAUUCCCCAUUAUGCUCCCACUUGGAUUAUGUAAUGAUGAUGUCGUCACAUCAGGUGGUUACAAUUGAGAAUGAGUUGAAUUCAAUUCAUCACAUCUCAUAUUACUCCCACUUGGACGAACUCAACCAAUAUCAUUAUCUAGAUCCAAGGUUUCAAAUAGGAAAUAAUCUUCUCCUAUUUCGCCCCUCUUAGGAAAUUCAUCCACUAAGGAUGUGACAUCCCAUGAUUCAAAAUUCAGUUAUUCUCCCACUUUCCUGCUCACCUACGAACACAUACCCUUUCGAGUGUUCGGAGUAUCUCAUAAAAAUACUCUUCUUUCAUUUGGGACCAUAUUUCCCAAAUUUGUGAGAGGAUUCAUUAUAGGCAGCACAACCCCAUGACUUAAGAAAACCUAAGUCCGGUUUUCUACCUAUCCAUAACUCAUAUGGAGUGGAACUAACUGAUUUAGAAGGCACCCGGUUAAGUAUUUAGGCAGCAGUUAACAACGCAUCACUCCAAGAAGUGAUAUGUAAGUUAGCAUACACCAUCAUGGACCUAACAAUUUCCAGUAGGGUUCUGUUUCUUCUCUCUGCAACACCAUUUUGUUGAGGAGUAUAUGGAAUAGACAACUAUAUUUCUAUUCCUUUUCAUCACAUUAUUUUCUGAACUCAUCAGAUAAAUAUUCUCGACCUCGAUCGGAUCUCAAUACUUUUAUUUUCUUGUCUAAUUGAUUCUCUACCAGGGUCGUAAACCUUUUGAAACAACUUAUCGCUUCAGAUUUAUGAGAAACCAAAUAGACACAUCCGAAUAAAGUAUAAUCAUAUAUUAAAAGUGAUGAAAUAAACAGCCCCAUGCCUUCCUCUCACAUUCAUUGAACCACAAACGUCAUAACGGAUUAAAUGCAGAGGAAAUUCAGCUCUUUUACCUUUUCUAAAUGGUUUCCUUGUCGUUUCCCUUCUAGGCAAUGCUCACAUAUGGACAAAUCAACUUUUUCAAUAUUGCCCAACAAGCCCUCUUUGGCUAGUCUUUUCAUAUGUUGCUGGCCCAUAUAACCAAGUCUAGCAUGCCACAUAUUCACAUCUUUAUCAUAUGAAGUAGAAGACGUGAAACAAACAUUCACAUCAUUAUCAUGUGAAGUAGAGAAGACGUGAAACGAGGGAAUAACAAUUAUUGACAUCGCCACAGUCAACAUCUAAUACAAUAAAACCAUCAAGAAAGUGACCACAACUAUAAUAGUUCGUAUCCAAAUACAAAUCUACACCUCUAUUAUGGAAGUUCAUAUAAAAACCAAGCUUGACCAACAUCAAAACAGACACUAAAUUUCGACGAAUUUCCGGAGCAUAUAGAUCUUCAUGUAGGAACAAGUUGCGUCCACCACGCAUGUUCAAUUGGCCGGUGCCAAUCCAUUUAACUUCAUCUCUGGAGUUAUUUUCUACAUAGAUGCACUUAGUUCCAGUUGGUACUCGUCAAAAUUCCAUGAAGAAUUCUCUAUCCUUCGCUAUAUGGUAUGUUACAUCUGAAUCUAUAGCCCACAAAGGAUUGGAUUCAGCCAAUAAAGCAGAACUUGACACAUAAGCAAAGUUCUCAAAUGUACUAGAGGUGUAUACUUGCUUUGGCUCACGACAGUCGCAAGCAUAGUGACCUCUCUUGUCACAAUUGUUACACCUCACCCUUGACAUUUUCUUUACUUGAGGACGUUUUCCUCUCUUGUGUUGGUUAACCCUUGAUUUCUUGCAAUAAGGACUUGAUCCUUUGCAUGCCCAUAUAUUGAACGAAUCAAUACGCUUGCGCUUAGAGCUCAAAGCCCUUUCUAAGCUAGAACCAACAUUGCCAAUAUUUAUUUUCGGCUCAAAUGCCAUUAGGCGGUCCUCUACUAGCUCAAGGUGGCGCACGGCACCCUCAAGAUCUUCCAUAAUUUGGUCAAGAGCUUCUAGUGCUUCUUGCUUUUACAGCACAUAUUGAAUCUUCAUAUUCAAUAUUUCACAAUUGUUGCCGUUCAUAUCAGCAAUCACAUUCUUAGUUGCUGAAACCAUCAGUCUGAACACAUCAGACAUACAUGCACGAAUAAUUAAUGCCUAUCAUUUAUGCAUCCCUAUUUACAUAGACCCAUCAUAUUAAUGAAUAAUCUCAAGUAAGGCUUCAGAAUCAAAAGGUCACUACGUUUCCAAUCAGCCUCCAAAAAUCCUAACUUAAAACUAUCAUUAAUAUGAUUGUCAUAUGUAAAAUCAAUUCUAUGAAACUACAAAAACUUCUAAAACUACCCACAGCUAAUUACCCACAGCAACCAGCAAUAACAAAAAGCAAUAUAUAAUAGAAUAUCGAAUAAAAUAACAACGCUUUCACAUGAUACAACUAACAUAUCGGUUGCUACAUCAACAACAAUCAGGUAGUAAACAUUACAUAAUUAAUCAAAGAAAUAAUUAGGGAAAGUCCCUUCUAAUCUAUCAGUCAAAACAUCUGAGAAAACCGAAGGCACAUUUGCCAACCAUGGAAAAAUUUUUGGAGAGCUCUUAUGUCGCCACCAAGGCGCAUUCGCUCUGCGCCAUGUGGCGCUCAAUCUAAGGGUUGAAGUUUUGGCCAACUCAAUCCUAUAGUAUUCUCUUACAAAAGUUUCCACUAGACCUCUAUAACCCGGGACCACGUUGACCUCCCAUAGCCGAUCUAACACUGCUUGCCAUUCAGGUGGAAGAGUGUUCAUCAAAGCCGGCACCUUCUCAAAGUCCAGCAUAAGAUAACCAUUCCAGAUGAUUUCCUGUAUCAUUUGAUUGACCUUGACCAUGUGUGAUACUAAAUCACCAUCAAGCCACCGAUAAUCAGCUAACCCUUUCAUCAGCCUUUUCAGUCUAGCUCUUCCUUCGUCCGUUCUUGGGAUUGCAGGUAUCCGUGCAUAACGCAUCAUAAUUCCUGCAACAAAUGCAAAACUAAAAUGGAUCACUUAUAAUCCAUAAUAAACAAAAUGGAAAAUACAUAAAUUUCCAUGAUUCAUGCAACAAAUGCAGAAUAAAAAUGGAUUACCUACAACCCACACAGGCAUAAUUGAAAAAAGAAACAAAUUCCUUUUUUUUUUUUUUUUUUUUUCGGGUCAACGGUCAAAGUCAACGGUCAACGGUCGUCGGACCGGCCGGACCGGACGGACCGGUCGGGCCGGUCGGAUCGCUCGCGCGGACCGACGCACGUGCCGCGCGCGUGCGGGGGAUGACAUCACGCAGACGUCAUCCGCACGUGCCUGCCACGUGCCUUGGUCUCCGGUGGGUCGGGUCGCCGGCUGGUGACCGCCCAGCGAAACGUCGUCGGCGAUGACGUCAUCGGUGACGUCAGCACGCGUCGGUCCGCGGACCGGCGCGUGCCGUUUCGCCGGUCGCCGGCGCGCACGUGCCGGUUCGUCACCGGCGCGUGUGGCGCACGCGCUGGCCAUUGCCAGCGCUUCGGGCGCGUGGCGCCCACGCGCAGCGGCUUGUGGCCGCGCGUGUGGGCGCGUGCGGCAUCUUCCGGCGACGCACGACAUGUCGCCGGACUCGUCUCGUCCUCGCCUUUCACGCAGGGCGUACAGUGCUCGGGUGUCGGGAUUUCACGCCCCGAUCCGUACGGCCGAGAAUUUUUUACGAAAAAUCAAUGAAAAACAUCAAAUUGAUCGGGAAAAACUUGAACUAGGGCUCUGAUACCAAUGUUGGGAAUGACUGAUCCCCGAAAACCGGAUUCGACACCAAAUCGAAUCCCUAAAUCAAUGCGGAAGACGAAGCCCGGGAAAAACACGUAUCACCGAUCGUAAAGCACACCACGGAGUCGAGCGUACCUUGUUAGCCACAGAUUAAACACCGUCGUCAAUGGAGGAAGAGAGUCCGGUCGAUGAAGCCUUGAAGGGAAGAAAUUGGAAGCCGUAUGCCUACUGUUCUUCGGGAGAGAAAACGCGCGGGAGAGAAGCGUACGUUGAUUGUGCCAAAGGGUGCUUCUCUCUCUCUCUCUCCUCCCUUUUAUACCUUCCCCCAUCCACGGGCCCUAUUCCCGUGGGCCAGGCUUUUUGGGCCCAACUUGGGCGGACGGGCCAACUCAGGCCCAUCUCAUAAAUCCAUCAGUUGCUCUAGUCAUCCACUUAGCGGUGAUCCUUUGACGCGGUUUUGGCUCCCGAUGCUCAAGGAGCUGCUGGGGAGGCAUAUGUUGGCACAAGAUCGCUAGUAGCAGGAUCCUCUGCCACGAUUACCAUGUGACGAUGGAGUUUAACAUAAUUUCGAGCCUUUGGAUAUAGACAUCCAGCUUCAAAUUCAUUUAUAUAGUUUAAAUUCAAGUCACGGAUCAUUUGGUUAGAAGCUUCCGAUAGUGCAUGAUUGUGACUUCUCCUGAAUAACAAUAAUUAGCAUGUACACAUUGCAUUUUCAACAAGUCAUAACGCUAUUUCGCUUUUAGUAAUAAUAGAGGAAGGGUUUGGCUUGCUCUGAACAAGUAGGCCAACUUGUUCUCUACUAGAAGGAAACGUUUGGCUGAGGCAAGUCGACUUGUCAACUUGUUUUCUAGAAGUGACGGUUUGGAACCUCAACUUAAGAUUCACGGCUAGUUUCUCUUCCUUCUUUAAUGGCAAGUUGACUAAGAUUUGGAGGCCAACUUUGAUUUUUCUUCUUGACGGCCAAUAUAGGAUGUUGAUUAUUCAACACCACCCUCUUUUGAUCUGCCCAGUCCCCUACAGACCUGUCCUAGUCGUAGCUCCGUCGAUAUUAUCUUCUAUCGUUGUAAGCAGUGGCCACCCAUUGCCGUAGCAGAGUUCCCACGCAUACACCGUGAAUUGUCGAACCUAGCGCUCGUCCCCCCUGCUCAGCAGUUUUCUCUUCCUGCUCGUCCAAACCUGGCGCUCGUCCUUGCUGGAUUGCUGUUUUUGAUCUAAUCUUGUUCACCGGUCAGCUCCAGAAAGUCUACUCGGAAUAGGUAAAUCUCUUUUCCCCUCAAGCUGAUUCAUCCAGAACCUCACUGCUAAAGUAUCUGGUAGGCCUUUAUUACACGGGAGCAGCCACCAGUCAUUUCUGAAAUCUUUCUAUAUAUUUGAAGCAAAAGAAGAGGUGGCAGCAGCAACAAUAUUUUCGUUCUUAAACUGACUUCAUGCCUGUCUAUAUUCCCGAUUGCAAGUUUAAUAACAAAAUUUUAGUAGAAGUUGAUGUCAAAUACUUGCUGUCCCGAUUAAAGUUGCGUCAUGGUGAUUUGUUGAAUAUUUUUGCCAUCCAUGUUUAUGAAAUUGCAUAUGGCUAGGUCACUCUCGAUCACGUCUUCACGUGUAAUUUCAUGAAUUUACAUGUGUCAAAUUUCAUAAAAGUCAUCCACGGCAUGUUAUACACAUUCGUUGCAUUCUAGAUUGUAUAUUAGGGGAGGUGUUUAACAAAACUACGUGUAGAGUUAUUAGGUGUUGCACAUUUAGGAAAUUGCAUAUCAUACAUUUACAUAUUUAGGGAAAGUCAUAUUCACAUUUUUAAGUGUGUUCAUAUUUGCUGAUUUGGACAGACUUAGGAUUUUUCAUUACAUAUUAGGAUGGAAUUUCAUCAUAUUCGUGUCAGGAUAAUUAUAUUCGAAAAAUUACAAUUUCAUGGACAAGCAUUAUCAUAUCCCACGGACUCCACUCUCAUUCAAUUAAUUUCUUGCAUGCAUAUCGAUUGUCGCCAAUCACCACCAUCUCUAGUCGUCGCUCCAUCAAUACCAUCGUUCGUUGUUGCAAGCAGCGACCACGCAUUCCCGUAGCUGAAUACGUACGCGUACACAGUGAACUGCCAAGCCUAGCGCUCGUGCUUGCUGGAUUGCUGUUGUGGAUCUAAUCCCGUUCGCCUGGUCAGCUCCAGGAAGUCUACUUGGAAUAGGUAAAAGACAUCUAUCUACUUGCUCUCUUUUUCCCUUGAACUGAUGCAGCAAGUUUAAUAACAAAAUUGGGGAAAGUUGAUGUCAUAUACUUGCUGGCCAGAUUAAAGUUGCAGCUUGACUGCAUAAUUCAUGGUGAUUUCUUGAUCUUAAUGCGGCUUAGUUGUUUUAAUGAGGUGAUACAUCUGCAUGCAUAAUUGUUUAAGCCAAAAUUUGGACCUCUAUUUUAUGGUUUUUCAUUACAUAUUAGGAUAGAAUUCAUUAUAUCCGUAUCAGGACAAUUAUAUUAGAAAACUUAGAAUUUUCAUGGACAAGCAUUAUCGUGCACAUCUAGGCUUUUGGAGUGCAUUAUUAUUAAUUCUCUUUUUGCACGUUUCCUUUCAUAAAUCACAUACUAUAAUUUGGGAAAUCUAGGAAAAUCAUAUCUUGCUUAUUAAUAAAUUGAGAUUGCAUCUUCAUAAAAAUGUGAAGUGGAACUCCCCGCGAGUCACGAAGAGUCUUAUCGCCCCAUUCCUGCAUUUUUUUUCUUUAUCAGUUUUUUGCUGUUUUUCGUAUUUAGUUUUUCCUUUUGCUCUUUUUCCAUUUAUUAAACUUAUAUUCUGAAAAGAUAAAUGGAAAUCUAGACACAAUUCCAAUAGACAAGUACAAUAGAGAUUAAUGAAUGACUAAUCACAAUGUGAUUAAAAAUGACAAAAGUUGGACUAAAAUUAUAGUUUUGUUAAUUUGAGCAAGAGAAACAAUAAUCAGUGCCAAUUGUCAAUCACACAAAAAAAAGAAAAAAUCGGCACCCACGUAAUGCGUGGAAAGUCUACUAGUAAUGUAAAAGAGACAUUCGCAUGGGAACGGAAGAGGAGAGAUUUGAAAAGUGAAGUGAUAAAUCCAAUUUGCAUCUCCGUAAGUCUUGGUCUUUCUGGAUUUUAUUAAAUUUUCUUUCCAAUCAGCUCUUUACCAAUUUUGCUUCACUUUCACGACAAAAAAGUUCAUGAUAUCCACUGAAGUUCUGGUCUUCUCGAGUUUAUGAUUUACUUACACGAACGAGUAUAUGAUCGUGGAAACUACAAAUGUGCGGGGAUAAUCUCUAAAUAUUACAGAACAACCACUUGUGAAAGAAAAAGUUGCAGCAAGACGGGCGAAAAUAUCUGCUGAAAGGUGAUGAGUUAGUAACCGAUGAUGGGGAAUCGCCUAGAAAGAGAAUCAUGGUCCUUUGAACUCGAUUUUCCUGUUCAUUGGUGUGAUGAAUAAAGUAUAAUUUUUUAGUAGAUUAUACAUUGUCAUUUGGUGAUUUGUGACUUGUUCACUAUUUGCAUAGUAAAAUAAAGCAAGUUGCUUAAUGAAUUAGUAGGUAUGCUUGACCCUUUUUCUUAUUAAUCCCAAAGCACGUGUUUCCAUUCUUCUUAAUGGACAGACAAAGUUAAUUGUCUUUGAUGACAUGUAUAUGUAUAACAGAAAAUAAGAUGCAAUUAUUGGGUGAAUCCUCAAUAUGUUAUGUUUCAAAAGCAUUUAUUUUACUGAGUUGCACAAAUAUGUUUAUUUGCCAAUCGUAUUAAUUUGGUCAACUUCAUUCAUCGCUAAACAAGAAAAAAGCGAUAAUCACACUGACUAAUCCAUCAAGCAAGUUGCUUUCUCUCACUCUGGAAAUGGUAAAUGAGUCAAAUAUUAACAAUAUAUAAUUAACUAGAUGUCACACUCUACGAACUUGAUAAUUGUGUUCCUAUCAAGGUGAUUCUCGAUUAUCGACCGCUACCUUAGCACCCUUCAACAAAUCAUUGUUGCCCAUCUUGAUGUGAAUCUUUAGCAUGGUAACCGCCAUGUAAAAGAAUUCAUCAAUCUCACAUUCACCAAUAAAGCAAACAAAGACAUUGAAAUCAUAAGGUUACUAAGAAUAUACAGAUGCUAAAAAAGCCAACAAAACACUUGUGAGGGAUAACACUUAUAAUGAAAAUAUGCAAACACUCUAAGUUGGUCAUAUUAAGACUCUAUUUUGGAUGGCCAAAAGUAAAGGUCCGACAGUAAAAAAGACUUGAUCUGAAGAAUAAGGAGAGCAAUUGACGUAACAAACACUUGUGGACAAAUAGUAUUUUAUUUUAUUUCUAUUUGUCUAACCUUUGAUGUGCAUCCCUUUAAAGUCUGGGUCUUUUUUAAAUAUUUUUCCUAGGUCAUUGUCUUGGUCUUCCUAGACUUCAUAGUUUUUUUCUCUCCAUUAGCUCAUUUUCAAUUUGUUUCACCAUAACACCUUUAUUGUUCUUUACAGUAACUGAUUCGCCUAUGGCCAUUGGAGAGAUCGUUUUGGGUUCCUUUUUGGCUUCAUUCUUUCAGGUCCUAUUCGACAAGUUGACUUCGUCCACAUUAAGUUGUGCACAACGAGAUGGAAUCAACACCGUCUCACUUGAGGAGUGGAAGGAUAUGUUGGUAACAAUCAAUGCAGUGUUGGCUGAUGCAGAGAACAAGCAACUUAGUGGUAACCAUCAAGUGAAGCUAUGGCUAGAUAGGGUAAAGGACUUGGCCUAUGACAUGGAAGACUUGCUCGAUGGGUUUGCGAUAAAAGCUGCUCAUAUUGAGUUACAGGUAGAAUCUAGCACAAGUAGAAGUUUACAAAAAUUGAAGUCCCUUUUCUUAGGCCAACAACACUCGCUCGUGUCUAAAACCCAGAUACAAGAGAUCAAUUGCAGGUUGGUAACGAUUGUCACUGGAAAGGCUAAUCUAAGCUUCAGAGAGAAUGUUAUGGACAUAUCCAACUUCACCAGUAAAAGGGAUCCAACCACUUCUCUACCUGAGUCACAGUUUUUUGGUAGGGAGGAGGAAGAAGCACAAAUACUUGAACUAUUGAUAAAUGAUGUGCAUAAUUCUGAUGCCAUGCUAAGAAUAAUCCCCAUAGUUGGGAUGGGCGGUAUUGGAAAGACGGCCUUGGCUCAGCGGCUAUAUAAUGAUGCGGGAGUGAAUAGAUGUUUCAAUAGGAAAGCAUGGGUUUGUGUUUCGGAUGUUUUUGAUGUUUUUGACAUAACCAAGAAUAUUUUCCACUCAAUCACCGGGUUGUCAUGGCAGGACAACGAUCUUAAUGGGCUUCAAGUUAAGUUGAGGGACAAUCUAUCUGGGAAGAAGUUUCUUGUGGUUUUAGACGAUAUCUGGAAUGACAAGUACGAAAGGUGGACUGCCAUCUUGAAGCCAUUUGAAGCGGGGGCUAGGGGAAGCAAGAUCAUUAUCACGACUCGCAACCGUGCUAUUGCUUCCAUAACAAAAACGUUGCCGUAUUGUUUGCCGGGAUUGUCCCUUGAAAAUUGCACAAACUUAUUAGCCUUUCAUGCCCUUGGAGAAAUAAACUUUGAGAGCCACCCGGAAUUUGAAAAAAUAUGCAAGAAAAUAGCUAAAAGAUGUAAAGGUUUACCUUUGACAGCGAAGAUGUUGGGCGGUGCCCUACGUAGUAUAACGAAUCCCGAUGAAUGGGAAGAUACCUUAAACAACAUAAUAAGGGAUCUUGCAAUGGUAGAGAAUGAUGAGGUUCUCCCUAUUUUGACAUUAAGUUAUGUCCAUCUUCCUUCCUAUUUGAAGAGGUGUUUUUCUUAUUGUGCAAUAUUUCCUAAGGAUUAUGAAAUUGAGAGGGAUGAGCUCGUACUCUUAUGGAUAGCAGAGGGAUUUUUAGAUGGACAAAAGAAAAAGAAAAAUAAGUUGAAAUUAGGACGGAGUUACUUCAAUGAGUUAGUAUCUAGAUCAUUUCUUCAACAAUCAAGUGUUGACACAUCUAAGUUUUCAAUGCAUGACCUUUUGAAUGAUCUAGCAAAGUCGAUUGAGGGUGCAAUAUGCUUUAGCUCUGGGGAGUCUCAGGUGGUAGUUAAUGAAGAUGACGCAUCUCUUGGGAGAGCUCGUUAUGCAUCAUUCGUCUCAUCAAGGUUUGUUACAUCAAAAUGCUUAAGAGCAUAUCAUGGACUGAAGGUAUUAAGAAGUUUAAUUCUAGUGCAUGUUGGAUCUAGUCGGGGCCCAAAUAAGUUCUCUAUUUCCAACAAGGUGUUGCACGACUUGCUAUCAAACUUGAAGUACUUGAGGGUGCUCUCAUUAUGUCAUUGUGACAUCGUAGAGGUACCGAAUUGUGUUGGUGGAUUAAAACAUCUUCGAUAUCUCAAUUUCUCGUACACUGACAUCAAGAGGCUACCUGAGUCAGUUGUGGGCUUUUGCAAAUUACAAGCUUUGAUCUUAAGAGGUUGUCAUGAACUUUCAAUGUUGCCUCAAGGUAUCAUAAAGUUGGUCAGCUUACAAUUUCUUGAUAUUAGAGAUACAAAAAAUCUAAAAGAGAUGCCAUUGGGAAUUAGUAAUUUGAAGAAUCUUACUAUCUUGUCCAAGUUUGUGGUAGGAACAGAGAAAGGGCUACAGUUAAAGGAGUUAGAGAACUUGUCGCAUCUUCAAGGAGAAUUAUUCAUAUCAAAAUUGCAAAAUGUGAAAGACGUCAAAGAUUGUGUUGAUGCUAAGUUGUCAAGAAAGGAAGGCCUAAGCAACUUAUUCUUGCAAUGGGAUAAAGAUUUUAGAAAUCUCUGGAAUGAUAAGCACUAUUUCCAGGUGCUUGAUUAUUUGCAACCUCACUCAAAUCUUGAAAAUCUCACUAUCUCUUACUAUGGUGGUGCAGAAUUCCCGCCAUGGUUAAAUUGUCCCUCCUAUUCAAAGAUAGUGUCUUUGUGCUUCCUGAGCUGUCCAAAUGUCAUAUCGUUGCCCUCACUUGGACAGCUACCUUCACUGAGAGAAUUAUCUUUUGAAGGUCUCAAUGCAGUAACAAUAAUAGGUUCUGAAUUUUAUGGGGGUAAAAAGCCUUUUUCGUCCUUAAUCACUUUGAAGUUUAAAGAGAUGUUGACAUGGAAGGAUUGGUCUCCUUAUGCUAGGGCCCCAAAAGAAGAAGUCCCAUUAUGCUGUCUUCAGCAUCUUGUUGUCCGAAACUGUCCUUCGUUGGUCGGGACAUUGCCUUGUCAACUUGAUCGUCUUAUAAAGCUUGAAAUUCAUUCAUGCCAACAAUUGAAUAACUCGACCAGUGAGUUAUGUCUUCCAUCUCUCGAUGAGUUAUACCUUGAGGAUUGUAGUAAGGAGAUCUUAAAGAGCUUGUUCAAGCUAACUUCUUUGACAGUUCUCAAAAUUAACAAACUCAUGGAGCUUGUUUCCUUUGAUCAUCGGUUUAUGAGUUGCUUGGGCAAGCUAAGGAAGCUUCAUAUAGGACUGUGUGACAAACUAACAUGCUUGUGGCAAGAUGGAGAUGAAACGCAAAAUCUCACUUGCCUCCAGGAAUUAGUAAUAAAAAAUUGUCCUCAAUUCAUAUCUUUUGUGGCAGGAGACGGAGAGAUAGAGCUACCCUGUAAUCUUGAAAGGAUGGAAUUGGUGGAUUGCACAAGUUUAGAAAAUCUUCCAAGCAAGAUGCACGCACUCAAACAUUUGGUGAUCGAAAAUUGUCCAAAAAUCAUGGCUCUAAACAUUCCUCAAGGUGACUCGAGCAUCAAUAAUUCGAUUUCUCAACUUGAAUCUCUUAAGAUACAUCACUAUCAUUCUUCGAUAUCCUUUUCAUUUGCCAAGGGUAGACUUGCUCCUUUGAAGGCACUUCAUAUAGACAAUUGUGAGGGAGUGGAGUCAUUGGAAGGGAUUGCCGUAGAAUCGCUUGAAACAAUGACAAUUAACAAUUGUCAAAAUCUGAGAAGCUUACCACAAUGCCUUCACACGCUCUCUCAUCUCACUCAAUUGGAUAUUUGUUAUUGUCCAGCACUGGAGAUAGAGGACUUCCCUCCCCUUCCCGUAACCCUCUCGAGUCUUGUUCUUAAGCUUUGUUCUAAGAUAAAGUCUAUUGCCAACUGUAACAUUGCCAACUGUAACAAUCUCACUAAAUUGGUUAUAUGGAAGUGUCCGGUAUUGGAGAUAGAGGACUUCCCACCCCUUCCCAUCACCUUGCAGAGUCUUGAACUUUGGGAUUGUCCGAUGAUAAAGUCCCUGCCAAAUAAGUGGCAUCAUCUUAUGUCCCUCCAAAAGCUAAGAAUUUUCUUUUGCCAAAAUAUCAAAUGCUUCCCCAAAGGAGGUCUGCCUCCCAAAUUGCGAGACCUUGAAAUUACGAGGCUCGCGGCUCUAAAGCAGCCAGUGAGAGAGUGGGGCUUACCCCUGUUCACAUCUCUCGAGAGUCUGACCGUUGCGUUUAACAUGGGAGGGGAGGGAGAGAAGGAGUGGUUUCCUUUGGAGGAUAAGGAUGCUUGGAGUCUCUUUCCUUCCUCUCUAACCUCUCUUUCGAUAUAUGGUUUGAGAAAUACAGAAAGACUAUCAAGCGGUCUCCGCAACCAUCUCUCCUCUCUUCGAUGGUUUUUUAUUAGAGAUUGUCCCAAGUUGAGGUACUUGCCAGAGGAUGGCUUCCCUCCCUCCCUCCAACAAUUGCGCAUAGUUGACUGCAAGAUUCUGAAAGAGCGAUGUGCAAAACUCACUGGUGACUAUUGGCCCCUCAUCGAAGAGAUCCCUGAGGUUCACAUCUGGUGAAUUGAUUCGUGCAUCUACACUACAGUGAGUUUUCUUAGGGUUUGAGUAAGUUAUUUUUGGUUUUGAAGGCAUCCUUUUCCAUUCUACUUUCUCAAUUCGAUGCUCAAUACGAACUGAUGUUUGGGUGGGGAUUGCGUUGGGUUGGAUUGGCUCUAUUUCGUUGGACGAUGAACUGUAGGAUGAAACGCUCGCAGUGCUGCCUCUUGCUAUGUUGACAACAUAUCCUCAUUUCUGCUCGAUGCCCAAACCAUUUGUGAAUGAAAUCGCACCAUCACGAAGAAUCGUAGCAUUCCACAAUCAUAGUCCUCUGCAUUUUCAGCGUCUAUUGUUUGUUCUCUUCCCAACAUAUUUUUUCUUGGGCCCUUAAGCUCAUUCACUCUGGUUGUUUUGCAGAUACCAUUAUCAUCUUGCAUUGGCAGAAUCUCUUGGAAGGAUCACGUGUGAACGUUGCUAAGGUAGGGCUAAUGCUGUCGGUGUCAUUGUCUUGCUUCAUUUUUUUUUUUGCAAUUUAUCAAUAAAGGAAGAAGCAAUUAAAUAUAUUUGUUGCACUGCUAUGUUCUGAAUUUUCCUUUUGGUGAAUAUCAUCUAAAUAAGAACAAAUCUUUUUCAAAAUCUAAAAGGAUGAUUAGUUAUGUGGAAGCUAUGAUGUGAUUGUGAAGAAAAUGGAUGCGGUUUUUUCAUUUUAUGGUUUUCUUAAGAAUUGGGAACCUUCUUCUUCUUCUUCUUUUAUGAUGAUUCUUCGUAGUAUUAAGCAGUCAAUCUGGGAUAAAAUUCUGAGGCAGCUCAUGGCUCCAAGCUUUUGCGUGACAGCAUUGAUAUUCCAUAAAUUGCUUUCUAGUUGGGUCUUGAAUUUUGGUGGUUUAGGAACUGUUGCUCACAACUUGCUAGAAAUUUUUAGCAAAUAUACUUAUGCCUGUUUGGUUGAGAUUGUAAUGAUAGGCUGCCUACCUUUGGGUUUGCAUCAUUAGCGGUGACCUCUGGGUUGGCAUUUCCAUUUACUCGACCGCUAAUAUGAUUUCAUCAUACAUUGUGCCAUUGUAUCUUAAAAUACCUUCUCAUGUGGCAUUGUUCCCAAAAGGAGUUCCAGAACAAAAUGUUCGAGCUGACAUGGGUUCCUUUGGAGUAACCGGAAAUCUUGCGAUUCAACCAAUUUGUAUCUUGCCUGGUAUAUCUCCUCUCUCUGUGCUGGUGUUGCAUGUAUAAAUCUUUUGUUGAAGCAAUGUUCUUAUGACAUUGUGAAGCUCUAUUAAAAAUUAGAUAAUUUGUAAUCUGAAUUGUGGUUCGUUGUGUACUUUCUCCAAGGUUUUUUGGAUGUUAUUGCACAUAUAACAUGGUGCUUUGACCAUAUAAAUAGGUGGUUAGAAAAGCAAAGUGGCAUUUGCCAAGAUAACUUUCAAGCAACCUCACAUAGUUUUGCUUGAUGACCCAUCCUAUCAUUUGGUAAGUUCUACUCAUAUUUCUCCAUUUUAUGACUUUGAUUACUUUUUCAGUUAGCUUGUUAUUGUUCUUGCACUAAUUGAACUUGUCAGAAUCUGGUUUUUACAUUAAAAAUAUAGUAGAACCAAAUGGUGGUCACGGCUGCUAGUAGCCCUUAUCAUCAUACACUAGCAAAUAAUGGAACAUAAACCAAUCUAAUUGUUCCAAUGUGGAAAAUAUUCGGAAUAAAGCAAUCUACAAUACCAAAUGGUACUGAUCUUUGUGCCUAUAGGCAGUAUUGGGCUUUACAUACAAAUAUGUGGACCCCUUUUUGUUUGUAAAUCUGGUCUUUAAGUUUUGCUUUAAUGACCAGUGACUAAAGAAUUAUCUUUGUAAAUUGUUAGUUUCUUGUCUAAUAAUUAGUGUUUUUGUUUUUUUUUUGCCUAUCCACACCUGUAGGAUUUGGAUGUGGCUGAGGCGCUCAUUCAAGGUCUGGUCUUGUUCCAAGGAUUAAUUUUGAUGGUGAGAUUGAUUUUCUUGUCAAAAUACUUCAAUUUGACCAAUGAUGGUGAGAGUGCUAGUAUGAACAAAAUAAAGGAGUUAGGGAAGAGAAUAAGAACACAAGAUUUAUAGUGGUUCGGCUUAAUCCAAGCCUACGUCCACUCUCCCACGAUAACAGCCUUCUUGGCUGGAUUCCACUAUGCAAUCAACAAGAAAUUACAACUUCGAGUGCAAACACUUAGUAGUAGAUCACACUAUCUCACUAAGUCACUCUUUUGGUAUUCCUCUCUCGAUUACAAACGUUUAAGCUCUCAAGAGACAAGUAUAUGAUCAAAAGUCGCUCAGACUUUGGAAUUAUAAAUUCUACGCUCCGUCUCUUACUUGCUCAUCGGUCCAUGAUCUCCUUAAAUACUCCUCCACUUCCAAACUACCCGUUGGACAGUAUCCCGGAGAAUCGUCUUCCAAUAUACCCAUUGGACAGCUCUGUAUCUAGAAGAUUUGGUAGCCGUUGAGUGACAAAGGUAAAAUCCCAAAUUGAUUCCGAUCGCCCAUACAAACGAAAUCUUGGUUUCCAUAAGUAAAGCUUCUUCAUAUAGAAAGUUCUUGUCUUCAAGAUCCAAUCGUCAAUCAAAUAGAUUGAAUCAAUCAAAUCAAUCUUGAUGUGGAAUCCAAACCAGAUCACUAGCCGUUAUAUGAUUGGGCUUGAGUUACGAUCUGUCGAGUCUUGAUGUAAAGUCUGAGAGCAAUAAACUUUACAAUCUGAGUCUGAGUGCGAUAGACUUUACAAUCUGAGUCUGAACAUAUUCUGCUUCUGAACAGAUUUAGCUUUAAGGUUUGUAUCCAGUUCAGCUUCAGCAUAGAGUCUGUCUUCUAGUUCAUCAUUCACGUUCAGUCUAGAAUUAGUUAGAGUUGACAGACUUCUGAUGUAGAACAGACUUUGACACUAAAGUCUAGCAGUCUUCAGACUUUGACACAGAAGUCUGGAAAUCUUCAGAAUAUACUUUGGACAUAUGUUACGUUCAGUCUUCUGGUCAUCUUCGCACUUUGACAAUAUCCUUUACAUGUUCUAUCAUCUGCAUGGUCUAUUACUCAACCAUCAAACAUGUUAGUAGCCUUUGAUUUAUUUUGUCAUCUUCAAAACAUCAUAAGGGAUUUCUCUAACAAUCUCCCCCUUUUUGAUGAUGACAAAACAAUAUCUGAAUAUGCAGAUUUGUAAACAUACUUUUAAAUCAAAGGAUAUCAGAAGAUAACAAAUAGAUUGAGCAUAACAAUAUAUAGAAAAAUAAUCACAGCUCAAUAUUAUGCCAUAGAUAAUAUCAACCAUUCAACACAUGCAUAUUCAUAUCUUCUCUCCCUUUUUGUCAUACUCAAAAAGUGAUAAUAAUGGAAAAAGUAUCACGUAGAGAAUGAUAACAAAUAUUUUGCAUGAAUCACAAUUUCCAAAAAUCAGCUUUUAUAAAGUAAAUCGAAUAUUAAAGAUAUGCAAUAUAGCUCACUUUGAUCAUAUAUAUAUCAACAAAUAUCCAAUAAAAAUCACGGAUGCAUCAUGAAAUUCACGUACACUUUUUGUCAUAAUAAAAUGAUAAUAUCAGUAAGAGAUUUGUUAAUGACAAAAGGUAAUAACAGAUGCACUAACCGGAUUUCUUUUUGGAACAAAUUCUGACACAUUUACCUUUCAUUCCAUCCAUAAUAAGAUCACGAUCAAUUCAAAAAGAUUUUUCCAAAAUUGAUCAAAGCUCCCCCUCAAUUUGUUGCCUCUUUGAGAUGAUCACGAUUCUUUUCCUUUUCUUUUGGAUUUGCUUUCUCCCCCUCGAUUUCCUCAUCGAAUUAUGAGUCUGUGUCUAAGUCAGACUCUGAUUCUGAGUUUGCGUCUGAGUCAGACUCAGAUUCUGAAUGUGCUAUUAAGCAUAAAUUUCAUUUCCAUCAAAAUAUGGUGGCCUUGUGUUGCUUUGCCCUUCCAUAAGACCUAGUGCCAAGAUACUAGCCAUAAAGAAUCUUUAGCUCAAAAGUAAAAACACUUUUAUAAACUGAGCACUUGGCUCUGAUACCAAUUGAGAAUGCUAGUAUGAACAAAAUAAAGGAGUUAGGGAAGAGAAUAAGAACACAAGAUUUAUAGUGGUUCGGCUUAAUCCAAGCCUACGUCCACUCUCCCGCGAUAACAGCCUUCUUGGCUGGAUUCCACUAUGCAAUCAACAAGAAAUUACAACUUCGAGUGCAAACACUUAGUAGUAGAUCACACUAUCUCACUAAGUUACUCUUUUGGUAUUCCUCUCUCGAUUACAAACGUUUAAGCUCUCAAGAGACAAGUAUAUGAUCGAAAGUCGCUCAGACUUUGGAAUUAUAAAUUCUACGCUCCGUCUCUUACUUGCUCAUCGGUCCAUGAUCUCCUUAAAUACUCCUCCACUUCCAAACUACCCGUUGGAUAGUAUCCCGGAGAAUCGUUUUCCAAUAUACCCAUUGGACAGCUCUGUAUCUAGAAGAUUUGGUAGCCGUUGAGUGACAAAGGUAAAUUCCCAAAUUGAUUCCGAUCGCCCAUACAAACGAAAUCUUGGUUUCCAUAAGUAAAGCUUCUUCGUAUAGAAAGUUAUUGUCUUCAAGAUCCAAUCGUCAAUCAAAUAGAUUGAAUCAAUCAAAUCAAUCUUGAUGUGGAAUCCAAGCCAGAUCACUAGCCGUUAUAUGAUUGGGCUUGAGUUACGAUCUGUCGAGUCUUGAUGUAAAGUCUGAGAGCAAUAAACUUUACAAUCUGAGUCUGAGUGCGAUAGACUUUACAAUCUGAGUCUGAACAUAUUCUGCUCUUGAACAGAUUUAGCUUUAAGGUUUGUACCCAGUUCAGCUUCAGCAUAGAGUCUGUCUUCUGGUUUAGCUUCAGCAUAGAGUCUGUCUUCUGGUUCAUCAUUCACGUUCAGUCUAGAAUUAGUCAGAGUUGACAGACUUCUGAUGUAGAACAGACUUUGACACUAAAGUCUGGCAGUCUUCAGACUUUGAGUCUUGAGUCUGGCAGUCUUCAGACUUUGACACAGAAGUCUGGAAAUCUUUAGAAUAUACUUUGGACAUAUGUUACAUUCAGUCUUCUGGUCGUCUUCGCACUUUGACAAUAUCCUUUACAUGUUCUAUCAUCUGCAUGGUCUAUUACUCAACCAUCAAACAUGUUAGUAGCCUUUGAUUUAUUUUGUCAUCUUCAAAACAUCAUAAGGGAUUUCUCUAACAGAUAGAUCAUUUCACAGCUAAUAGCCCUCUUUUCACCUUGAUUUGCAGGUUGGUCACGGUGAGCAUCUAAUAGCUAGAAGCUUGGAUGAGGUAUGGGUGGUUACAUGGCAAGGUGGCACCUCUCCAUGGGAAUUUCUAGGACUAUAGGAAUGUACUCCUAUUUUUAUUGAAUCAAGUGAAUCUAGUUAUUGCCAUCGACUAAGAGUGGUUUAGUGGGUUCACAUUACCUCACAAAACAGAAAAUGAGGCUUAGCUACAUAGAGAAAGCAAAAAACGAUGAAGAGAGCAUUGUUGUUGAUAUACAGGACAGGCUCACAGUUACACCAGCCCUUAUUUGUCAUUUAUACUUGACAAGGGCUUGUGGAACGAUGGGUCUAAGUUUUUGACAUCGAGCAUACAGUAUCAUUUGCAAUAGCUUAAGAACUGAGUUGGGAUUGUAUUACUGGUAUAAUUUAUUCUUUCUUGCAAAUUUUAUUCUAGCAAUAUGUUCAUUUGUUGUGCCCCUAGAAGUUUGAUACUCUGUCGCUGUGGAAGCCAGCUUUCCCAUACAUGGUAAAAUGAUUUAAUCAUUUGCAAAAAAAUCUUUUUAGCACAGUAAAUUAUUUUGUAAGACAAUCUAUUUUUGUAUGAAUAUAUUUUCCCUAUUUUCAUUCUUUGCAUUGUUCAGGAGAAUUAAUUAUGAAAAUAUUAUCACGGUCAACAAAACUUUAUAUUCAACUCUAAGUACAGAAUUGCGUUGGCUAAUUAUAAUGUAGGCCUUGCGUAGUCAAAAAAAUACUUUAAUGAAAUUCCAUAUAAAUACCUGGAUUUGUUAGAUAAUAUCCUUUUAAGAUGUUCAGGUCAUCAUUGAAAAUAAGAAGCUUUCUUUCUCCCAACUGCUACGGUGCAGAUGGACAAACGGAACUGAUAACAGAGGUUUGAGUAAGCGAAUGUGACAGCUAAAUUCUGAAUGAGCCUGCAGGUGAAAACAUGUUAGUAAACUGGUUGCCUGGUCAAAGAUUGAAUUUCAUUUUCAUUUUAUUCAAAUACCCACUCCACUCCAUCUCUUGACAACAAUUUUAGCGGUCCUACAUAUUAUAUUUCCUGUGCAGGACGGGGAACGGGAGGGAGGAUCAAUAGCCGUGGCUACCCUCUGGAUGUUUCUUUGAGGACUUGCGUCUGCUAUGAGAUAUUCUGAUUCCAAGAAGAUCGUCAGUUAGCGCCACUCAUAAUUAACUCCUUGAAGUGGGCAAGUCCCACCACUUUUACCCCCAUCGAGGUGCUGAAGGUUCAGAACCAUUCACUCGUGACAAGAUACACGCACUACCAUUGCAAAUGGUUUCAAUCUCAUGAGCUCACAUGUUGAAGAUAUACCUUGAAUUCAGGUAAAUGAAGGGAAUUUGAUCCAAAAAGGAAAUGUGCUACUAUGGCUUCCUUGAUAUACAAUUUUGAGGAAUACUGUUACAUGAGUUCUAUUAUUGGACACUUCUGUUACAUUAUAAAGUUGUUGCCUGCUAUAUGAGGUUUUUGCCAUGACAAUCAUUUCCAUGUUGAGGAGCGAAACUGUUUUUCUACUUCUUCAUCGUCAGACCCGGCUUGAGACACUGUCUCACGAACUACUUUUAGCAGAGACUUUUGAUCUGGAGCUGCUGCGAAUUGAGCUUGAUGUUGACAUUUGUGGAGGAAAAAUUGAGGUUGUCCUGGUAGUCUGUGGCUUUGGCCAAGUAGGAUCUGCAGCGAAACAUACCUGCUUCUUCAUUUGCAAAUUGAGUGGCGAAUUUUGCCCACCAUUUAAUUUUUUAGUUGUCUUUCGAGAAUAGGACACUCACGGUCGACUGGACGAGGUCUAACAUGCGAACAAUUAUUUUCAGGUCUGAUAAUAUCUGACAUGUAAAGAUGAAGAGGUUCUUGAAGAGGCCUAAUUGUUACCGAAAAUCAUUUCUCCGUGUAUGGAGCUUAAUUCUUCUUUUUUAGAGACUUGACAUUUUUGGCUCGGUAUUUUAUUAGGAUCCUUGACAUUGGUUAUGAGUAAUUUUAAUAGAGUCUGUAUCAACGAGAAUGAAUUCUUAAUAAAGUUUUGGUUAUAAGAUGAUGAUCUGCAAUAUAAUGAAUAUCCGGAGGGAUGUCACCCCGCAUUAUUUUAUGAUUGAUCUUUGAAAAGGUCUUCUAGGAUUCUAUUUGUUUUGAGAGAAACAUUUCAAUAAGAAAAUGUUAUUUUCAUUUUUCGCUAUUUAGUGUGAUAAAAAGAGCCGGUCAAAGGAAAUUACUUUAGUCAAUCAGAAAAUCAAAUGAAAAAAGAAAAUACAUUUUUUAAUUUAAAAAGUUGAGUACGAAAAUAAUACAGAGGAAUAUCUACACGGGAAAAGAGGUGUCACGGUGUUGUUCUAUUGCGGUCCUUCAUCCACCACAUAUUUCAAAAAAUACAAAACCAGGAAACUCUAACGGCUAGCAAUCGGUUUUAUGAUAUAUUCAGAAAGUUUGGCACAAGAUUGUAAGACGAACUAUUUUGAAGGGGAAAAAAGAGUAGUCCCUCUAAUUUGCUGGUACAAUAAAGUGGUGUUUUCUUAAUUUAAAUAGUUGGGAUCACCACUCAAAUGAUUUUCAUUUUAGUUAUUGCACAGAUUUUCUUUUGAUUGAUUAGUUUAACGCCAUUUUCUUUUUUUCGGUUGAAAGUUUGACGCCAUAUUGAUUUGGUUCCUUUGGUGUAACUAAAAAUUUUGCAGUUCAAGCAAUGCAUACCUUGUCUAGUAUAUCUCCUCCCUUUCUACUACCGUUACAUAUAAUUUUGUUUGUCUAAUCACUCUCAUAGCUCUUUAUUAUGUAUGAAAGAUAAUUUUAAUUAAUUUUCUUUUUUGGAUUUUUUAUUUUUUCUUAUGUUCAUCUCGCACCUUAUGUUGUUCUUCUUGUCGAAGAGUCUCCGAUACAAAUGACGGCAUUAUUCAAAUUUGUGUUGGUUGAUAAUGAUGGCAAUUAGCAAAAGCCAGGGAAUUAAAGAAAAAUUUGGGGCUUUUACUUUGUUUUUCAAUACAUAUUUUUAUUUUAUUUUUGUGACUGAAUAAUUUUGGAGUUGGUUAUUAAUUGAAGCAAGAAAUUCUCGACUAGCACCAAGAUGCAAAAAAAAAAAAAAAAUGCAAUUUCUUCACAUUUUGUAUGACAGGACAAAAAUUUCUUAUCUGGAAAAAAAAAAACAAGAUCAUUACACCGUAUACUUUCACAAUAGACAUCAAUUUACCCAGACUCCUUUGGAAUAGCAUCUUUAUAGAUUUAGAAUGUUGUAUGAUACGAUAUGAGGAUCGGAAGCCCGAUAGAAUUAGACCUGAAUAAAGUAUAUUGUAUCAUACGCAUACAAACUGUAAUAGCACAAAAACAAUGUGCAGCCAAGCAGGAAAUUCUCAACGAGUAAUAUCACGCUGAAAUGCUUUCUGAGUGCCGCCGAUAGCUCUGCGGUUCCGGUCUCAAUUCGUCUUGAAUUUACUUUAUUCAGUUGAAGUUUCUCAAUCUCACUUAAACUGGUGCCAAUCGUAACAAAAAGCCUCCCUUGACGACUUCAUUAUCGUUCGUUUUUGUCACUGCCUCCACCUUCGGUUUCUAUCACUUUCGUUCUCCGACGGGGGAGAAUAGUCGUGACUGAAACUAAGAUAGAACUCGGAUUCUUCGCUUCGAGCUCUUCAUCACAAUAUUGAAGAUAAGUUCUCUCUCGCUCUCUGGUUUCAUUUUUCAAUUCAAGCAACAGCAUUGAUUCUCGGCCCUUUUCUGAAUCUCCAGUGGCUUCCUUAUCGACUUUCCUUCACCAUCGCCCUCCGGACACCGUUGGUACACACCGGUCGUUCCCGUCCGAAGUUCUGUUCGCCCCUGUUCUCGGUCAUCAUUGCUGAAGCGCUCGAACUGCAGUCAGCAUGUCUCUCAUGACGAUUCCAGUUCACAAAGCUGCUUCCACGAUCACCUUACUAAGGUCCAAUCAUGAAUCGCAACAGGUAAUUAUCCUCUAUCCAAUCAAAUCACAUAUGCUCUGUUUCAUGGUGUUCUACGUACAAACCACUGCCUGGGUAAAAAUCAAUUAUGACUGAGCCUGUGUUAAUGGUUUGAAUUUGCUACGUUGCUUUGUGAUGAUCUCGUUCACAUACAUGUACUGUAUUGACAUCCAUAUUUGAUUUUCAUAUCUGAUUUUGUAGUGCGUUCUUGAUCUGAGACAUUUUACAGUAUGUUUGUCGACUUACUUUUGUCAAUUGGUUCAAUGCAGGUAUAGAAAAAGUCGAGUCUCGACAUGUUGUGCUGAUCAACGAACCUGUGUUUGGAUUUGCUGGAACUAGCUCAUACCUGACUGGUAAUGUUUAGCUCAUUGAUAUGGUGUUGGGUUGUUUAAUUACUUUUCUCUGCUAAAUCCUACCUGCGAGAUGUUUCGCUCGUGUAUCCCAUUUUAGAACUGAACAUCUCAGCGGAUUGCAUAAAUGGUCGUAGUUUGUCUGCCGCUGCGUCUGUAGAUCAUGUGGCCACGGGAAAUGCACUCUUACAGAUUCAAGCAGUAUGCAGAAGGCUUCACUAGGUGACCAUUGUAAGCUCGAUGAAAGUGCUCCCAGAAGCCCCGAUAAAACCAAGUAAUGAUCUUCUUCGGUAACCAGAAAGUGAGACGGAGUCGCAGCAACGACCAUCUAGUUCGUGAAUAAUUCCCCCAGAAAUGAAAAAUAGAUACAAGAGAAUCUUCUCAAGUAUUAAGGAAAGUACAGAGUAAUAACAACUAUCAGAGGGAAAGGUCACGAGUUUCUAUCUUCAGACUGCUGGAACAUACAAAUUGAAUGCUCUCAAAGGAGAUCUGAUUUUUCAUUAAAAAUCCUUCAAAAACAACGACAUACCUUGGAAGGAUUGAUCUAGAUGUCAAUCAUCUUUUGAAUAAAAAUGCAGCUGAGUCUUGAAAGGCCCAAGACACCUUGAACAAAGUAGACCAUCACAACUGCAAUAUUGUCUGGGGACAAGUCGACCCCAAAAAACUUAUUGAACUUGUAUAGCUUUUUUCCCUGCGAAGAACAUUUUUACUGGAAGUGCUUGUUUCUCUGUCAUUGUUUGCUGUCAACAUAUCCCCAUUUCCUGCCCCUGGAUUACCGACGGAGACAGAUAAGGAAAAAACAGCAUCAGAGCAGUAGUGGCAUUGGGGAAGCAGCAUCACACUUUUAUUGAUAAUGUUUGAGAAAUGAUUGUAACAAGCUAAUUAUGCUCCUGACUAGAAUUCGACAGCUGCCAAAAUGAAUAACAAGGAAAAAAGCCACUUCAGGUCAGUGACCCUUCACAGAGGAGUCCACUUCCAGAGUCCAUUUCCAACGUAAGUCGUGAAACUCCAUCACUUCACAGGCCGACACAUUUUUCAUGUUCCAAAAGAUUGAGCAGUUGAGAUAAUGCGCUUGCAUUCUCCACCCAACCAAGAAGCAGCACAUAUUUGCCCAUAAAAUCGAUAUUUCAGCAGGUUUCACUUCACUUGAACGGUACUUUACAAUGCUCGAAGAACACUUUCAUCUCUACUUGUGCAACUUCAACUAGACCGGAGAGGUGACAGAUCAGUUCAACUUAAAUCAGAGAUGAGCACAAGCAAAGAUGAUCGGCCAAGAGGACCAAUCUACCGCAGCAUGAAUUGAAUUAUACCCAUCACCAUUUAACCAGUUAAACCCACAACAACUUCAUCGCCACCGUCACGUCAAGCAGACUCACAAGUCCUUCAGACCAACAUAAACCCAAACAAGCAAAACCCAUAAAUGGUUACCAAACAAACAUCCGAAAUUCAAGAAUCAUCUUCCACCUACGCUCAAUCAAACACCAUAAAUUCCUCAAGGAUAAAACGAAUGCGUCAACGAUUGGGGUAAAUUGGCGAAAACAAUCAUUGGGUAAGAAAAAAUCGACGCAAUGAAAUUUACCCAUAGAAUUCAGCAACCGGUCAUGAUCCUCGUCCCACCGGCGAGGGGCCGCCGGCAUCUGGACGGCGGUGGACAUGUCGUUACCCGGCGGCGGCCGCGGCUGCACCGGCGGGUUCUUCCGGUGAGCUCGUCUCCGGUGCCGGGCGACGAGGUUGGACGAGUUCCUGCGAAUGCGGGACGAGAUGAGGAGAGCAGGGCAGCGGGAGAUGGAGGAGAAGGGUCGGAUCUUUGGGGAGGGCAGUUCGGAGAAGGAGAGGGUUGUAAGGAUUGCCAUUAAAAUAGAGAUAAAAGGUUUCGACUUUAAUUUCUUCGAAAAUUCUGUAUGGCUUCUGUUUUUAUUUUAUUUUGUUGUCUCCCAGUUUCGCGGGGUUUUGGUUGGUUGGAAUUGGAGUGAACUGUCCUCCUCCUCUUGUGAUAUUAUGCACAGAUCUCUCCACAAAAUUAAUUUGCUUCAGUACACUUUGUAAUUCCUUAGGAAUGUAAUACGUAAUUGAUUGUCCGAAAAGCUAGUCUUGGAUAUUUUUCACGAAGAAGACCCACUUUGUACAUAAAAAUUAUUUCCCUUUUAUAAAAUCCACUAAAAUCAGAAAGUUUACUUGGAUUAGAUUUUUUUUUUUUAAGGUCAAAUUCGAGAUGUAAUCUUAGUAUUUUAUGAUUUUGAAUCCAUGCAAAUCCAGUCAAAAAUAAAAAAAGAAAGUAUAAUUUAUCUUUGAUCAAUACUAGUUUAAUUUAUGUGUCUCAACUGCCCACAAACAUAAAAUGAUAUAUAUCUUCUUUUCUUUGUAGAUGCUCAAAACCAGUGAUGAAAUUAUUUAGAAUAAAACAAAACUUUGAAUUUUCUUUUUAGAUUUUUUGGCUUACUUAAUUGAAAAUUCAUUUUACCAUCCAUUUUCAACAAGGUAGUAUAGGGUAGCUUGAAACUCAUGAAACCAAGAGAUUUUAAGCAAGUUCAAAAUGUUCGUGAGAUAAGUUUAGAUUUCAAAAACUUAAAAUUGAUACCUACAUCAUAAGUUAAGAUAGUGAUCUAUAAGUUUAUAAGUAAUUGUGAGAGGAUGGCUCCCCUACCUCCCCUAUUAAGUAUUCCACAUUGAGUAAGAAUCCAAAAUAUCAAUACUUGAAAACUAACCGGAAAUUAUUGGUAUCUCAUCCAAGAAAUCAUACUUAUUGAAAUUGAUUGAGUUCAGAUCUCAUGAGAAAAUUUCUCUCCAUUGUUUGAUUACUUACAUUAAUGGUAGUAACGUGCUCUAAUUAAGAUUAAUAUGUAUGAUGGUUUUCAAAGCCAAUCUAAGAACCUCUCUUACCUCUAAUAAAAGCAGCUAUUUUUUUUUUUUUUUAACAGCAGCUACUUUAAAGAUGCAAAAACAGGGGCUCUCAAGUUGGCGAAUCUAACAGCUAAAUUCGAAGUAAGCCUGAAGAUUAUAAUCCAUUUAAAUAUGACUUCUUUCUAAAGUUCACAACCCGUCUUUCUUCUAUUUAAUUUUCCACAUAAUCUCAUACCAACGGUUUUAUUGGUCCCAGUCCCACAUUUUCUUUUCCUUUGUUGUAAAGGGAGGGUGGAGAGUAGCAUUCAAGGUGACCAUGCUCUAUUUCCCUUUUUCUUUUCUUUUUUAAGUGCGUUAUUGCUCUAUUGAGUUGUCAUAAAAAAGCUCACCCCUGCCAUAAGGUAUUCCGAUGUAGAAUUGUGAGAAGGUUGUCAUCCAAUACCACUUGCAACCGAAUUAUCUUGCAUAGACAAGUCCAGUUACAAGAAGCACACCAAAAUCACUUGAGGUCCUCUUGUAGGCAAGAUAAGAUACACGUUGCUAUCCUCGUCGGUGGGUUAUCUUUAUGACCCAACACUUCUGAAAUCAUCACGUCAUACCAUUAGGUCGACAUUACUGGGGAUCUAUAGUCUCCCAUAACUCUACAUUAAUAUAAUCAAAAGGGCUAUUCAAGAAAAAAAAAAAACAAAAUGAUCAAAAGGGUCACUCAUUUAUGAGACUUGGAAUAGGAAGUACCCUGAUAUGUCUUUUUCGUAGGUUUUUGGUUGCUUUCGUGUGAGUAUGAAUACAAUUGUUUGUCCAAUUACUCUUAUAAUUAUUUAUUUACAUGACAAAAUAAUUUUUAACGGGGGCAACUUGAUUUUCUCAUCAUAGAUUCUUUAUUUAUUCUCAUUUUUCUCUCACUAACAAGCUUUGGGUGGAAUUUGAAGAGUCCAAAAUGAUUGAUUGAUAUGAAAUUUUUGCAUUGAUGAUCGCAAUUGGCAAAAAAAGGGAAUUAAAAAAAAUUCUAGGGCCUAAUUAUUAUUUCAAGUGGUAUAAAGUGGUCUUUAGUUUAUUUUUCAUAUAUACACCUCUAAGUAUAACAUUGACACUACUAGAAGAAAGCAACUAUCAACUAAUUAGCGCUCUGCUUGAUUAACUGAAAAUUUAGUAUUUUCAACUGGUUUUUUAGAAUUAAUUUUCAAGUAAAUGAUAUUUUUUUUCAGCGUUUGGUAAAAAUUUGAAAAUGAAAAAAAAAUUAUUUUAUGCUGUUUGGAUAAAAAAUUAGAUAUCAUUCUCUUAUAUGGGCAGGGAAAGUGGUUUGGGCCAAAUAUUUCUUCACAUUUUUGGUCCAACAUUCUCCUAUUCUUCUUCUUACCACUUUCUUUUAUCCCUUCUUCUCUGCCCGGCACCGUGAAAAGCUAAACACCAUUCAUUCACACCGCAGCCAUGGUAGUCACAGAAUACAAAGUCAAAUGGUGGCGACUAGGUGGCAGAAAAGCUCGAGAAGCCCCUCCUACCCACAUUUUUCGAUUACUUGGCCAUCCGAUUGGUGAAAUUUCCUCCGCCCUAGCUUUCUUUUUCUUUUUUCCUGAAUUUUUGCUGGCUGUGAACGGUGGCGGUGGCGGUCGUGGUGAUCGAGUCUGUGGUGGUGCUUGUUAUUGCGGUUGGGAAUGGUUUUGAAGGAGGAGGGUUCAAUGGGGUUGGGGAUUUGGGUCUGUUUGGUGAUCGAUGGCGGCGGUGGAUGAUGAUGGUGUGUAAAUGGGAGGGUGGCAUUUGCGUGUGUUUGCAGAGGAGAGGAGACGGAUGAUGAUGAAAUUGGUCUGCGAUAGUGAGAGGGGUAAGCAGCAGUUUUAGAUUUUAUGAUCUGAAAUUAUUCUCCUCAAUUUUGAGGCAUGGCUUUUCCUCUCAGUGGAAAUUAUUUUCCUGGACCAACUAAACUUUUAGCAUCAAACAAUAGAAAAGAAGAAGAAGAAGAAGAUAUUCACUUAGGAAUGGAAGAGGAGAGAUGUGAAAGGCAAAGCAACAAACCCAAUUGGCGUACUGCAAAGUCCUGGUCUUCCUGGAUUUCAUUGAAGUUUCGUUCCCACAGAGGGAUUGAACACGACUUUCCUGUUCAUUAAUGUGAUGCUUAGAUAGUUAUUAUUCCAUUGAUUAUAUGUUAUUCGUUAGUGAUUUUUUAACUCAUUUACUGUUUCCAGAUUAAAAAAAACCAAGCUGCUUAAUGGAUUAGUUAGUGUGCCUGACUUGUAGAUUGGUAGUGCAAAGAGCGUGCUUUUGUUUUCCUCAUCGAAUAUACAAAGUUAGCUGCCUCUGAUAACUUGUAGAUGUGUAACAAAAAGUCUUUGUCUUCGAAUAAGAUAUCUGGGGAUAAUCUCUAAACAUUAAGAGAGGAGAAGUUUUGGGCAAAAAGUAUUUUACCUUGAUAUCUAACCAUUGAUGUGUAUCCUUGGAAGUCUUGGUCUUUGUUUAAUGUUUUCGAGAGGUGAAAGUCUUUCUCGCCAUCGCUUCACUUCACCAUAACCCUUGCUGUUAUAUACUGUGACUCAUUCACCCAUUUUAUAUCUCCAUUAGCUCAUUGUCACUUUGCUUCACCAUAACCUGUGUUCUCUACAGUUGACGGAUUCACCCAUGGCCAUUGGGGAGAUCCUUUUGAGUGCCUUCCUUUAGGUCCUGUUCAAGAAGCUGGUUUCUUUAGGACUAGACUAUAUGCAAAGGGAAGGAGCAUUGCCCUUCUCUGGAAUCAGCAUCGACUUGCUCAAUAAAUGGGGGAAGAUGCUGGACACAAUCAAUGCAGUGCUGGAUGAUGCAGAGGACAAGCACUUGAGUGGUAAUGGUUUAGUGAAGCUAUGGUUGGACGAUAUUAGGGAUCUGGCCUAUGACAUGGAAGACUUGCUUGAUGAGUUUGCCAUCAAAACCGCUCAGGCCAAGUUGGAGGUAGAAUCUAGCACAAGUGGAGGUGAGUGAAGUUCUAUUUGUUUAGCCAACAUAAAUCUUCUAGAUCCAAUCCAAACCCAAGCUUGCUCGUGUCUAAAACUAAGGUUCAGAAGAUCAAUGGCAGGUUGGAGGACAUUGUUGCCAGGAUGGCUUAUCUAAGCUUGACAGAGAAUGUUGUGGGUAGAACUGACUUCACCAACAAAAGGCCCCACAACAUUUGUCUAUCAGAGACUCGUUUUUUUGGCACGGAGAAGGAAGAAGCGAAGAUACUCAAAUUAUUGACUGGUGAAGCUGAAAAUUCUGAUGCCAUGUUGAGCAUAAUCCCCAUAGUUGGGAUGGGUAGUGUUGGAAAGACGGCCUUGGCUCAACGGCUGUAUAAUGAUGCCAACGCAAGCGGCUGCUUCGAGAGAAGAGCAUGGGUUUGUGUUUCGGAUGUUUUUGAUGUUCUCAACAUAACAAAGGCUAUUUUGUGGUUGAUCAUCGAGUUGUCAUGCAAGGACAAAGAUCUCAACUAGCUUCAAGUUAAGUUGAAGGACAGUCUAUCAGGGAAGAAGUUUCUUGUGGUUUUAGAUGAUGUCUGGGUAUGGGGAAUGGACUGCCCUCUUAAAGCCAUUUGAAGCAGGGGCUAAGGGAAGCAAGAUCAUCAUCCCAACUCGAAAUAGUUCGGUUGUUUCCUUAACAUGAGCUUCGCCCCAUCCUUUGAAGGAGUUGUCCAUUGAUAAUUGUACAAGCUUAUUAGCCUUUCAUGCUCUUAGAGCAACAAAUUUUGAGAGGCACCUUGAUCUUGAAACAAUAGGCAAGUAAAAAGCUGAAAAAUGUAAAGUUUCACCUUGGCAGUGAAAGUGUUAGGUGGUCUCUUGCAUAAUAAAGGGAAUCUUGAUGAAUGGGAAGUUAUCUUAAAUAAUAGAAUGUGGGAUAUUCUGAUGGGAAAAAUGAUGAGGUUCUCCUAGUUUUGAAUUUGAGCUACAAUAGGCAAGAAAAGAGCUGAAAAAUGUAUAGUUUCACCUUGGCAGUGAAGGUGUUAGGUGGUCUCCUGCAUAAUAAAGGGGAUCUCGAUGAAUGGGAAGUUAUCUUAAAUAAUAGAAUGUGGGAUAUUCUUAUGGGAAAAAAUGAUGAGGUUUUCCUAGUUUUGAAUUUGAGCUAUGUCCAUCUUCCCUGUUAUUUGAAGAGAUGUUUUGCUUAUUGUGCAAUGUUUCUCAAGGAUUACGAAAUUGAGAGGGAUGAGCUGGUACUCUUGUGCAUAGUGGAGGGCUUUUUAGAUGGACAAAAAAGAAAGGAGAAUAACUUGAGAUUAGGAUGGAAUUACUUCGAUGAGUUAGUAUGCAGAUCAUUUCUUCAAGAAUCAAGUGUCAUUGCAUCCAAGUUCUCAAUGCAUGAUUUUUUGAAUGAUCUAGCAAAGUCAAUUGUAGGUGGGACAUGCUUUAGCUCAAAGGAGUCUUAGCUAGUAGGAAAUGAAGACAAUGCGUCUCUUGUGAAAGCUUGUUAUGCAUCAUUCAUCUCGUCGUGGUCUGUUACAUCAAAAUGCUUGAGAGCGUCCUACCAAAUGAAGGUACUAAGAAGUUUAAUGCUACUUCAUAUGGGAUCUAGAGGGGGCAAUAAGUUCUACAUUUCCAACGAGGUGUUGCAUGAAUUGCUAACGGAAUUAAAGUACUUGAGGGUGGUCUCAUUAUGUCAUUGUGACAUCAUAGAGGUACCGAAUUAUGUUGGUGAUUUAAAAUAUCUUUGAUAUCUCAAUUUCUCAUACACAGACAUCAAAAGACUACCUAAUUCAAUUGUCACCUUAUGUAAAUACAAGCUUUGAUCUUAGGAGGUUGUCAAAAGCUUUUUGUGUUGCCUCUAGAUAUCACAAAAUUGGUGAGCUUACAGUUUCUUGACAUUAGAGAUACACACAGUCUAAAUGAGAUGCCUUUCGGUAUUGGUAACUUGAAAAAUCUUAUUGUCUUGCCUAACUUCGAUGUAGGAACUAAGAAAGGGUUACAGUUAAAGGAGUUGAAGAAUUUGUCCUAUCGUCAAAGAGAAUUAGUUAAAUCAGAAUCGCAAAAAGUACGAGAAGCUAGAGAUGCCGUUGAUGCUAAUUUUUUUUGGAAAGCAAGGCCUUAGCAACAUGUUCUUGCAUUGGAGUGAAGAUUUUGGAAAUCUGUGGAAAGAUAAGCAUGAAGCACAAGUGCUUCACUCUUUGCAACCUCGCACUAAUCUUGAAAAUCUCACCAUCUCAUAUUAUGGUGGUGCAAUAUUCCCGUCAUGGUUGGAUGGUCCAUUCUAUUGUAAGCUAGUGUCUUUGUGCUUACAGGGCUGUCCUAAUGUUAUAUCGCUACCCCAACUUGGACAACUACCUUUACUUAAGAAAUUAAGUCUUAAUGGUCUACAUGCAGUAAGAAUGAUAGGCUCUGAAUUUUGUGGAGGUGAAGGGCCUUUCUCAUCCUUAACAACUUUGAAGUUUGAAGAGAUGUUGGCAUGGAAUGAUUGGUCUCGUUAUGCCGGGGGUCCAGAAGAAGAAGUACCAUUCUCCUGUCUUUAGCAUCUUGUUGUUCGGAGUUGUCCUUCGUUGGUUGGGACAUUGCUUUGUCAACUUGAUCGUCUCAUAAAGCUUGAAAUCCAUUUGUGCCCACAUUUGAAAAAUUCAACUAGUGCAGUUUGUCUUCAAUUUCUCUACAAGUUAUAUACCUUAAGGAUUGUAAUAGAGGGAUCUUAAAGUGCUUGGUCAACAUAACUUCUUUAAUCAUUGUCAGGGUUCAAAAUCUUGCAGAGCUUGUUUGCUUUAAUCACGAGAUUAUGAGCUAUUUGGUCAAGCUAAAGGAGCUUCAUAUAAGAAGCCGUGACAAGCUAACAUACUUGUGGCAAGAUGGAAAUGAAACACGAAAUCUUACUUGCCACCAAGAAUUAUCCAUCCAAAGUUGUUCUAAAUUCAUGUCUUUUGUGGCAGAAGAAGGAGAGAUAGAGUUGCCUUUCAACUUCGAAACAAUAAAAUUGAGGGAUUGUGCGAGUUUAGAAAAGCUUCGAGGCAAGAUGCACACGCUCAAAGAUUUGUUAAUUGAGAAGUAUCCAAAACUGAUGGGAUUAUUAACAAUUACUCCAAAUGACUUCACUAGCAAUAAUCUGAUGCCUCAACUUGCUGCUGUCAAGACACUUAUUAUUGGGCAUUGUGAGGGAGUGGAGUUGCCGGAAGGGAUUGUUGUAGAAUUGCCGAAUUCUAUGACAGCUGUUUGAAUUUGGGAAGCCUACCACAGUGUCUUAACAUGCUCUCCCAUUUCACUCUUUUGAAAAUAAGUAACUGUUCGACAUUGGAGAUAGAGUCUUCCCUUCCCUUCCCAUCACCCUGUCAUAUUUCUUUCUCUAUAACUAUCCAAAGAUAAAGUCUACCAAAUCAGUGGCAUCAUCAUGUAUCCCUUCAUAUGUUGUAUAUUAUGUAUUGCCAAAAUAUCAAAUACUUCCCCAAAGGAGGUUUGCUUCAAUUUGUUGGACCUUACAGUUUUAGCGUGUGAGAAUUUGAAGCAUAUAGUGAGAGAGUGGGGCUUACCCAUGCUCACAUCCCUCAAGUUUCUGUUAAUUGACUUGAGCAUGGGAGGGGAAGGAGAGAAGGUAUGGUUUCCUUCGGAGGAAGAGGAUGUGUGGAGUCUUCUCUUUCCUUCCUCUUUGUCUUUGGAUAUUUAAAAUGAGGAACGUGGGAAGACUAUCAAGCUUUCUUUGCAACUAUCUUUCCUCUCACAUUUUUACACCUUCACGAUUGCCCAAAGUUGAGGUGCUUGCCAGAGGAUGGGCUCCCUCCCUCCCUCUGAGAAUUGCGCAUAGAUGGGUGUGAGAUUCUGAAAGAUCGAUGCUUAAAACUCAUUGGCGAUUAUUGGCCCCUCAUCCAACAGAUCCCGAGCAUCCUCAUUGAUGACGUUUGAAUCCAGUGAAUCCAUGUAUGGUUAGUUUCCUAGGGUUCAAGUAAGUUUUUGGUUUUGAUUUCAAUUCCGCUUCCUCAAUUCAAUGUGUAAUACAAAUUGAUAUUGUUUCCGUUGGAAAUGUUUCCCAUGAAUUUCCAAAAACUAGCCACUAAAGGUCAGACUAACAUUUGAGUGGGUGUUCUCAUUGGGUUGGAUCGGCUCUGUUUCAUUGGACAAUAAACUGUGGGACGACAUAUCAUAUCUUGAACUCUGCUUGAUGCCCAAACAAAUUGUGAAUGCAAAUGCACUAUGCAUUGCAUUAGAAUCCUGAUGAAUCAUUGCAUUCCGCCAUCAUGGCAAACAAUUUGAAUUUAGACCAAAGAGACCAUGUUUUGAUGCACAGUGUCCUUGAGUUAGAUAAAUCAAUUGUUCUCAUUUUUCUUCAAAUCAAGAUUUUUGGCUAUCGUUUGAAAGAGAUGACCUUUAUAUGUGGCAAUCCAAAAUAUAGGAUCAUAGGUGAUAUUUCUUCAUAGGAAAAAGUACAAAAAAGGUCCUAAACCUGUGGCACUGGUACCAAUUCAAUAUUAAACUUUUCGGUUGGACCAAUUUAGUCUUAAAUAUUUUUACAUUGGUACUAAUCUAGUCUUUUUGGCCAAUUUUGGCUAACUAGUGCUGAUGUGGAUGUUUGCCGGUUGGCAAACGCUAAUGUGACAAUUUUUAAAUAAUUUUUUUAAAUUUUUAAUUAUUUUUUUGCUUUUCCUUUUUUUUCCUCUUCUUCCUCUUGGCCUUCUUCUCCUGCAAUGGCCAAUGAGUAUAGGCUUUUACAUGGCAGCUAUAAUGCUAGAAAUUUGCAGCAAAGUGGGCGGCAAUGAUCUGUCGGAGGGUGUUGAAGUAGUUGUUGAUGAUAGUGAAUCACUCGAUACGAAAAUCGUGGUCCUUUGAAUAAAAAAAGCUAGCCCAAGAGAACUUGCUUGAUGGAUUAGUUGAUGAUUUGUGAAUUGUGUACUAUUUCCAAAGUAAAAAUAAGCAAGUUGCUUCAUGGAUUCGUUGGUCUACCCAACUCUUUUUCUUGUUUGGCCCAAAGCACUUGUUUCUGUUCUUCUUAUCGAAUAGUCAAAGUUAGUUUUCUUUGAUGACUUGCGGAUCUAUAAUAAAAAGUAAGAUGCAAUUGUUAGGUGGAAUGUCAACAUUUAUUUUAGUUGGUGCAAGUUGUACAAAGAUGCUUAUUUGUCAGUCCUAUUAAUUGUGGUAAGCUUCAUUCAUCGCUAGACAAGAAAAAGGGUCAAGCUCACCAACUAACAAAGUACUAGAUAUAUGCUAGGCAUCACGCUUAUGAAUAGGAAAAUCGUGCAAAGGACCACGAUUCUCCUAUCAAAUGGUUCUCGAUCAUUAACCACUAACUCAGUACCCUUCAGUAGAUCAUUGUUGCAUGUUUGCCUGCAAAUCUUUAGCACUAUAACUACCACAUAAAAGCCUACAUUGAUCACAUAUUCACCAAUAACACAAUAAACAAAGAUAUUGAAUUUAUAAGGCUACUAAGAAUGUACGGACGCAAAAAAAAGGGGGGGGGAUAAGUGCAUUAUAAGUUCUAAAACUUGCCACAAAAGUGCAAUUGAGUUUUAACACUUUAAAAACACAAUUAAGCCCAAAAGCCUGCUAUGAAGUAGAAUUAAGUCUUAAAAUUUUCAAAAAGUGCAAUUAAAUCCUAAAACAUGUCAAAUAGGUUCAAUUAAGUUCUUUCGUUGAUUGCAAUUUUCGAAAAUUUUACGAUUUAAUUGCACUUUCAAGACAAGUUUUAGGAAUUGAUUGCAUUUUUUAAAAUUUUUAGGACUUGAUGAUAUUUUUGUGACAAGUUUUAGGGUAUCUUUCGAAAAUUUUAAAAUUCAAUUGUACUUUCAUGAUAAAUUUUCAGACUUCCCAUACACUUAUUAUUAUUAUUAUUUAAAAAUCCUUGGUCUGUCUUUGUUUAAUGUUUUAGGACUCAAUGGUUUUUGUUAGGGUAGGUUUCUCAUUUUUUAGAACUUGGAACCUACCCUAUAUGUUAUGGAACUGGGAACCUAGAACCCCCGUUGUUCUCUCAAUGAUUGGUAAACCCAUGAUCAUUGGAGAGAUCUUUUGGAGUCCCUUCUUGGCUUCCUUCUUAUGCUUAUUUCUAGUAUUGUUAAUCUUAAGAAGACACGUAACGUGUGGAAAUUCUACUAGUAAUGUAAAAAGUGACAUUAACAUAAGGAUGGAAGAAGAGGGAUGUAAAAAGUGAAGCAGUAAAGCCAAUUUGUGUCCCGUAAAGUCUUGGUCUUCCUAGAAUUGAUUAAAGUUUCUUUCCCACUAUCACUUUUUCCCUUGUGCUUAAUUUUUCACACAAAAAAGUUGAUGAUUCCCAAUAAAGUCUUGGUCUUUCUAAUACUCCAAGAAGUUUGAGCUAGACCGGAGAUCACAUGUUUUGACGCACAUUAUGUCAUCGAGUUAUAUUGUUCUCCUUUUUCUUCAAAUCAAGGAUUUUGGAUGUCGCUUAAAAUAGGGGACCAUUUCUUUUGACCCAGAGCAUGAGAUUUUGUUGUCCUUACCAAACAAACAAACCUAACUGUCUUUGAUGACUUGUGGAUACAAAACAUACAAUAAGAUGCCAUUGUUGGUUAUGUCAUCAGUAAUUUAGGUUUCAAUAACUUUGACAAUGCAGCGAUCCUUUGAUGCGAUUUUGGCCCCAUGAAGCACGAGAGCUACUGGGGAGACAUAUGUUGGCAUGAGAUGGCUAGCUGCAGAAUUCUUGCAAAAAUAGAUGUCCAGCUUCAAAUUCAUUAUAUGGUCUAAGUUCAAAUUUCAAAUAGUUUGUGAACGGGCUUCUAAUAGUGCGUGAUUAUGAAUUCUCUAGAAUCAUUAUAAUUAGUAUAUACACCGGCAUGUGAUACUAAUUCACUUCAAGUAAUAUUAGAGGAAAGGCAUAAUACUAAUUUGUGAGCUCACUCAUAAUAAGUAGGUUGAAUUGUCCUCAAAAUUCUAAAAUUAUAGACAAUCCAGAUCCAUUGUCUAGAAAAUAUUUGAUACCAGUUAGCUUAUUUUCCACACUAAAUAAAGAAAAACGAAUUUCUCUUUAAGAAAGGAAGAUCAUGCAAUACAUGCUAGUGUCAUGGCCCGAAAGAAAGUCGAUCCUAGAGGUUCCUAUGGAAUGGGCGUGACACAUUCGACCCUCGGCUUAUAUCCCUGAGACUUAAGGUUUUCUCGAGCCUUCUAGAAUACUUGGGGCGGGCGAUACAAUAAUUGUAUUCGUUUAUAAUAAAUGCGGGUAGUUGGUACUUGGGGAGAUGUAAUCUUCACCGUUAGAUCAAGGGAAGACCUACGGAUACGGUUUGCCUUGUCUUUGUAUAAAUAUGGGUCUCCUCCUCUUCAUUGUAUUAUCUCAUUCACAAGUGAAAUACAAUCCUAAGCUUCUCUCUCUAGAGUUUUCUCUCUCUAAGAUCCUUGUGAAUCGAGUGUGGGUAAAGCUGCUUAGGGGUAAAAUCCUAAGGCCGCACGAGUCAGCUUAUGAGUGAUUGAGAGUGAUCGAUCAGCCUGUAACAAGUGGUAUCGGAGCUGAGUUUGUUUCAAGCGCAAGCACAAUAGCUGAUCCACGAUUUGAUGAGGCGCAAGCCAUGGGUGGUGACUAUGUUGAUCGUGGGAGGAACACCGAGAAGGUUGCUGCCAAGGGGAAGAAGACCCGUGGUGGUUGGAGUUCAAAGGAUCCAACGGGGGACCUUGCACAUCGUAUGACGAAGCUAGAGUUGUUUGUCAUCGAUGUCCAAUGAUCGGUUGAUGACCUGACCCAAACCGUGGAUGGAGUUGACGCCGGAAGAGAGGAGCUCGUUGCUAAGGUGCAAGAGCUCAAGACCGGCAUGGGAGAGCUCUGCCACGAGUUGCUAGGGACCCUACGGAAAGAACUCGCACAACGGUACGAACUCUUGAAGGCCAUGAUAGCGGCCAUGCACGUGGAGAUAGUGGAGCUUAAGGGUAAGCUUGCUGAAUCGGAAGUUGCACGCAUGAAUAUGGUGAUCACUGUGCAAGGUCCACGAGUGGACACACCGAAGCCAAAGGAAUUCCGAGGCUUGCAGGUGGCCAAAGACGUGGACAAUUUCCUCUAGUAUAUGGAGCGGUACUUCCAAGCCAUGGGGAUUAACGACGAGCAAUCACAGGUAAAUACUGCAUCUAUGUACUUAGUCGAUAAUGCAUUGUUAUGGUGGCGUCAUCGGUCAGAUGAUAGAUGUGGGGUACUUAUCACAACCUGAGGUAGAUUCAUCGAGGAUUUCCUACGGAACUACUUUCCCGCUUAUGCGAAGGAGGAAGCUCUUCACGAGCUGAAGCGUCUCGAGCAAAAGGGUGGUGCGCGCGACUACAUCAAGCGGUUUUCGGAGUUGCUACUCCAAAUCCCUUCGAUGAACGAGAUUGAAGCGUAUCACCAAUUCAUGAGUAGUCUCAAACCAUGGACUAAGCAAGAGUUGAAGUGGUGCAAUGUGGGAGAUCUCACGACGGCCAUGACCAUGGCCGAAUCGCUUGUGGAAUACAAGGGGCUUUCCACAUCCCAAUCGGACUCGUGUCCGAGGAACAAAGCCACUUGGGGGGGAGAUCGGGGGUGAUACAACUGCCCGAUCGGAGGUAGACCACUGGUUGGUCCUUACAAAGCUCAUGUGAAGUCGAGCGGAUGAGGACAAAGGAAGGUACACUCAUACAAAUGUUUCUUUUGCCAUGGUCUGCACAUAGCAAGGGAUUGCCCGAACAAGGCCAAGCUAGCCGCCCUUUGCAAGGAAGAUGAGCCUAGGAAGGAAACGCGGUUAGGUUCGCUGCGACUUCUUAGCAUGAUCAAGUCCAAGAAGGCGAAGGAGCCUAAAGGCUUGAUGUUCGCGGACUUGAAAGAUCGGAGAGUCCACAAUGAGUGCACUCAUGGAUACGGGAGCCUCCGACCUUUUUAUAUUAGAGCAAGCCGCGAAAAGACUUAACCUACGGGUUGAGAAAGGAGUCGGGUGGCUCAAGACAAUAAACUCCAAGAAAAUCCAUGCAACCGGUGUUGCAAGGGACAUGAAGCUACAACUCAGGCCAUGGAAGAGCAAGGAGACUCUAGAGGUAAUUCUCCUUGACGACUACGACUUUAUCAUUGGGAUAAAAUUCCUAGAUAAAAUCCAUGUUGUUAUAUUGCCUUUCGCCAAGUGUAUAUGCGUGUUGGACAAGCAUUGUCAAUGCGUGAUUCCAGUACAUCAUGAGUCGGACCGUGAUAGGAGGAUGAUCUCGGCUAUGCAACUCACCAAAGGGGCAAGGAAGGGUGAGGUGACCAUCCUAGCUGCCUUGAAGAUUAAAGACAACAAAGGCAAAGAGAAGGAAGUCUUAACGGAGGUAGCCCGAGUCCUCAACUCGUUCAAGGACGUGAUGCCUUCAGAGUUGUCGAAGAAGCUACUAUCUCAAAGAGAGGUGGAUCAUCGAAUCGAGUUGGUGCUUGAAGCUUGACCGCUUGCCAUGGCACCUUAUCGCAUGGCGCCCCCCGAAUUGGAAGAGUUGAUGAGGCAACUAAAGGAGUUGCUCGAUGCGGGCUAUAUUCAGCCAUCCAAAGCUUCGUUCGGUGCACUAGUCCUGUUGCAAAAGAAGCACGAUGAGUCACUUCAAAUGUGCAUCAACUACCAAGCAUUGAACAAGCUAACCAUGAAGAACAAGUACUCGAUUCCGCUCAUCGCGGAUCUCUUCGAUCAACUUGGUGGAGCUAAGUGGUUUACCAAGCUGGAUCUUUAAUUAGGCUACUAUCAAGUUCGGAUCGCUGAAGAAGACGAGCCGAAGAUAGCCUGCGUGAUGCGGUAUGGAUCCUAUGAGUUCCUUGUGAUGCCAUUUAGCCUGACCAACGCUUCGGCUACAUUUUGUACGCUCAUGAACAAGGUACUCCACCCUUUCCUAGAUCGAUUUGUAGUGGUUUACCUAUAUGAUAUUGUAGUCUAUAGUCGGACGCUCGAUGAGCAUGUCGAGCAUCUAAAGCAAGUCUUCCAAGCCUUGCACAAAACCGAGUUGUAUGUUAAGCGUGAGAAGUGUGCGUUUGCCCAAGAGGAAGUCCCGUUUUUGGGGCACAUUGUCGGGGGUGAACGAGUGUGUAUGAACAAAGCGAAGAUUCAAUCGAUCGUCGAAUGGGAGCCGUUGACAAAGGUGAUGGGGGUGAGGUUGUUCCUAGGCCUCACCAACUACUACCGGUGAUUCAUUCAAAGCUACUCGAGUAUCACCGUGUCGCUCACGGACCUGCUGAAGAAGGAGAAACUGUGGGAGUGGAUGGAUAGAUCGAUGCCAAAGAGCAUUCGAUCGGUUGAAAAAAGCCAUGACCGAGGAGCCGGUGUUGGCGUUGCCUAACCACAUCAAGCCUUACGAGGUAGAAAUUGACGCCUCAAAUUUUGCUAUUGGUGGCGUCCUUAUGUAGGAAGGACAUUUGGUGGCGUACGAGUUUCGCAAGUUGAACAAUACCGAGCACCGGUAUAUCGUUCAAGAGAAGGAGAUGACCGCGGUGGUCCAUUGCCUUCGGACGUGGAGGCACUAUCUCCUGGGAUCAAAGUUCGUCGUGAGGAUAGAUGGCCACGAGCUAUUUCUAGACCCAGAAGAAGCUGAGUUCGAAGCAAGCUCGCUGGCAAGACUUCUUAGCGGAGUUUGACUAUACGUUGGAGUACAAGCCAAGGAAGGCCAACUCUGUGGCGGACGCGUUGAGUUGAAAAAUGGAGUUGAAGAGUAGCUCAGUGAGUCGAUCGAGCUGUCCUUGGGUUGACCGCAUAAAUGAGGGGUUGAAGCAUGAUCAAAGAGGUCAAGCCCUUAUCGGGUAUGCGAACGAAGGUAGGACUCGACAAUUCUGGUAUGAGGACGAGCUCCUUUACACCCAAGGAAGGCAUUUGUACAUGCCCUUCUAUGGGAAGUUAAGGAAGGAGAUCUUGCGCGAGUGCCACGACUUGAAGUGGGCGGGUCAUCUAGGGAUCCACCGCACAUUAGCCCUCGUCGAAGAUUGGUAUUACCGGUCGCAAAUGCGGGACGAUGUGGAAGCUUAUGUGAAGACUUGUUUGGUGUGCCAAUAAGAUAAGCUAGAGCAACGAUCGUCAUCGGGCCUAUUGGAGUAGCUUCCCGUUCCAACUCGUCCAUGGGAAAGUGUUUCCAUGGACUUCAUCGUCAACCUGCCAAAGUCCGAAGGGUGUCGGACUCUCAUGGUCAUGGUGGAUAGGUUUUCCAAGUAUUUGACUUUUGAGCCUACGACAAAGGAUUGUUCGACCAAGGAGGCGGCCAAGCUAUUCAUGAAGCACGUGGUUAAGUACUGGGGAGUGCCACAAACAAUCGUGAGCGAUCGCGAUCCUCGUUUCACGGGUCGUUUUUGGUCCAAGUUGUUCAAGUUGCUGGGGUCGGAGCUAAAUAUGUCCACGAGUUUGCAUCCCCAAACCGACAGUCAGAUGGAGUAGGUCAAUGCACUCUUGGAGAUUUAUCUUCAAACUAUGUGAGUACAACGUAGGUGAAUUGGACGAAGUUGAUCGACGCAGCCUAGUUCUCCUACAACUUGCAGCGGAGCGAGUCAACCGGCUAGAGCCUGUUCGAGAUCGCAACUGGGCAGCAACCGAAUACCCCUAGCGCCAUUGCUUCGGGUUAUCGAGAGAGUAGUCCACCCGCGUAUAAGUUCGCCAAGGAUUGGCAAGAGCAGGCCGACUUGGCAAGGGUGUGUCUACACAAAGCCUCCAAGCCCAUAAAGAAGUGGGCCGACAAAAAGCGAUGGCAUGUGGAGUUCUAGGUUGGGGACCAAGUGCUGGCCAAGCUACACAUGGUUUUUCGAUACAAGGACGUGCAUAAGGGGUUGAUCCUCGCUACAAAGGGUCGUUUCGUGUGUUGCAACGGGUUGGGAAGGUCGCAUACAAAUUAGAGCUACCACCAAAGCUCAAGGUACAUCCGGUUUUCCAUGUGAGUAUGCUUAAGCCUUUCCAGUUUGAUGAGGAAGACCCAAAUUGAGGGGAGUCGCAAUGGGUGCCACUCGGAGCAAAAACCUCAUAUGAUCGAGAAGUCAAGAGCAUCAUGGCGGAUCGAAUCAUACGGAAGCAGUAUCGUGCGCCCAGACGAGAAUAUUUGAUCCGAUAGAAGGGUCUUCUAGAGAGUGAAGCAAGUUGGGAGCCCACGGAGAGUCUUUGGCAUUUCAAGAAGGAGAUCGACGCUUUCCAUGUUGAAGAUGUGACGAGGGCGUCGCCUGAUUAGGUGGGGGAGAAUGUCACAGCCCGAAAGAAAGCCGAUCCAAGAGGUUCCUAUGGAACGAGCAUGACACAUCCGACCCUUAGCUUGUAUCCCCGAGACUUAGGGUUUUCUUGAGCCUUCUAGAAUACUCCUAGGGGAGGGCGACACGGUAAUUAUAUUCAUAUGUAAUAAAUGUGGGUAGUUGGUAGUUGGGAAGAUAUAAUCUUCAUCGUUAGAUCGAGGAGAGAUCUAUGGAUACGGUUUGCAUUGUCUUUGUAUAAAUAGGGGUCUCCUCCCCCUCAUUGUAUUAUCUCAUUCACAAGUGAAAUACAAUCCAGAGCUUCUCUCUCUAAGAUCCUUGUGAGUCGAGUGUGGGAGAGGCUGCUUAAGGGUAAAAUCCUAAGGUCACAUGGGUCAACCUAUGAGUGAUCGAGAGUGAUCGAUCGGCCCGUGACACUAGACUCCAACUUGACGUAAUAUGAUGGCUCUCUCUCUCUCUCUCUCUCUCUCUCUCUCUCUCUCUCUCUCUCUCUCUCUCUCUCUCUCUGUGGCUAAAACCUUGAGUCAUUCCAUGUCCACACGCAUUACAUGUUCCGCUUGUGCGUAUUUAGAUUCUCGACUUUUGUUAAUUCUUAGAUACUACAACUAAAACAUGAUUAAUAAAAGUAUUUAAAAUACUAUGGACUAAUUUUAUGAUACAAUCAGUAAUACCAUAUGAGUCUUAAAUGCUCUUCUUUUUCGAAUGAAAAAUGGUGAACAUUUUCAUUUCAUCCUUUAAUAAUUGACGGAUGAAAUACAAAUGAGUGCCUUAGAGAUUGGUUAAAAUAUAUCUCGAGUUUGAGCCCAAUGUGAAAUUCUGAAUUGGAUAUGUUGUGGACGUUCGAAAUCGAACAAAGAAAAUCCGAAGAUCAAUUUUCCAAAUUUGAAUAUGCGUUUGAGAGUCUGGCCGCUAAAAUAGGAAAGUUCAACUUUCACUUGGAUUUGGAUUUUGUUUAAAACAUACAGAGAUAUGUUUUGGAUAAAAUCGUUUAAGAUUGGAAACAGAAUCCUAUGAGAAGUUGACAAAAGAAUAAGGGUCUCACUUAUAUAUAGAGUUGUGAUUAUGGAUGGAAGAGGGUUGAUCAUGAAGAAUUGGUCUUAAAGCGCCGUCUCAUCGUCGAGUGCUUGGGAGGGAUUUUCUUUGUCGUUCUUGUCCGUGAAUUACAUCUAAGAAGAUUUAGUGUUUGUAGCCAAUUAAAUCUUGUGGUAAGAUUUGCGUUUAAUUCCUUCGUGAGAUUGAGAGAUUAUUUCUUGAGGAAUUUCGGGGCUAAACAAUACGUGGGUUAUUGGGUGUAAUUGGGGCUUGGGAAACGCCGAGAGAGUGUUUGAGUGACUCGAGUGUGUAAUCUCCUUGUAUUGCUUGGUCUAUAGUGAAAUUCACUGCUGGUCUCCUCGUAGACGUAGGUCUUUACGACUGAACCAUGUAAAUCCGUUGUCCGAUUUAUUUUAUUCUUCUGUCUAUAUUAUUGUUCGAUCGCUCGCCUUUCGCAACAAGUGAUAUCAGAGCCAGGCUUGGCUAAGUUGAAGCAAAUCGAUGGCGACAGAAGAAGUAAAAGUGAUAAUCAACAGAUUUGAUGGGAAAGAUUUUAGUUUUGGAACAUGUAAAUUGAAAAUUAUCUUUACCAGAUGAAACUGCACUUACCUUUAUUUGGGGAGAAACCAGAGACGAUGAAGCAAGCUGAUUGGGAUUUGCUAGAUAGACGAGCUAUGGGUGUUAUUCAGCUGACGUUGGCUCGUAACGUCGCGUUUAACAUCUUGAAGGAGAAGACCACUGAUGAUUUGAUGCAAACCUUAUCAGAUAUGUACGAGAAGUCCUCUGCGAUUAACAAUGUCUAUUUGAUGUGACGUUUGUUUAAUUUGAAGAUGAGCGAAGGUGCAUUAGUUGCAGAUUAUAUCAAUGAAUUAAAUGUGAUUGUUAGUCAAUUGAGUUCAGUUGAGAUUGAUUUUAAAGAUGAGGUACGUGAUUUGAUUCUGUUAUCCUCAUUACUUAAUAGUUGGAAUAUUACUGUUUCUGCUAUUAGUAAUUCCUCUAGGUCAACAAGUUUGACGUUUUAUUGGUUUGAGAUUUAAUUCUGAGCGAGGACAUUCGUAGAAGAGAAUUUGGCAAAUCUAUAUCUACUACUUUAGUAGGUGAAAAUAGAGAGAGAUCUAUAACAUGUGUGGGUAAGAGUAGUACUAAUAUGAACAGGUGUAGUCAGUCUAGGACUGGUGAUGUUGUCUGUUGGAGCUGUGGCAAGAAAGGGGCAUCUUAAAAGGAAUUGUCUUAAGCUGAAGAAUGAGAAUGGUAAGAAAAUUAUAGUUAAUUAUGCAAAUAAUGCUGCAGUUGUAGCAGACAAUGUCGAUUAUGUCUUGUCUGUCUCCAGUGAUUCAUCGUUUGAUGGAUGGAUUAUGGAUUAUGGUUGUUCUUUUUAUAUCACACCAAAUAAAAACUAGUUUAUCACUUAUCAGUGCACGGGUAGUGGUAAAGUCCAAUUAGGGAACAACGCUGAGAAUGAUGUUGUGGGUGUUAGUGAUGUUAAAAUCAUAAUGCACGAUGGUAUUGUGAGGACAUUGACUGGAGUAAGACACGUUUCGGAAUUGAAAAAGAAUUUAAUUUCUUUGGGUGCUCUAGAUUCAGCUGGUUGUAGGUAUUCUUCAAAAGGUGGAGUUCUGAAUAUUGUUCGAGGUGCCCUGGUGAUAAUGAAAGGAAUCAAGCAUGGAAGUAUGUAUAAAUUUCAAGGUGAGAUAAUGACAAAUUUCGCUGUGGAGACGUUAGAUGCAUCUGUUCGAGAGUCUUUUGACUGCUUGAGGAAGAUUUGGGUGUUUAUGCCAAUACACAAGUUUGAUAACUGGUGUUAGGAUCACACGGUUGAAAGCUUUGAUCGAGACAGAGACUAGUAAGUCGAUCAAGCAUGUGCGAAUUGACAAUAGCAUGGAGUUAUGCUUGAAGCUGGCACAUAAAUUCUACAUGAAAGAGGGCAUAGUGAAACGUCGCACUAGUGUUAGUAAAUCACAAUAAUUUGCAGAAUUGCUGAGCAGAACAUUACUAGAGAUGGGCCGAAAAAUGAUCUCUAGUGUUGGUAUUACUAGGAGAAUCCUAGCUAAUGUGCUUAAUACAAUAAACUGUCUGGUGAAUAGAUUCCCAUCAACUGCUAUUGAAUGGUGGUCUUCUAAAGAAGUCUGGUCAAGUAACGUUACUGGUUAUUCUAUUAUUAAAAUGUUUGGUUGCCCGUGUUAUUUUCGAGUGAGUGAUGGUAAGCUCGAUUGGAGGGCAAUGUACAUAUUUCAUGGCUAUGCACAAGGUGAGCGGGGCGAUCGGUUGUGGUGCCCAGAUAUGAAUUCACUUGUUAACAGCAGAGAAGUUACCCUUAAUAAGUCUCUAGUAUUUCUGGCUAGGAAUGUUUGUGGCAGUGUUAAUACAGAUCUGGACGUUGUUCAGCUUGAGGUGGAAUUGCGACUAGAAACUCCUGAGGUAGCGAGUACGAGUACUAGCAAAGUAAUCGACACAGAUGGUGCUUGUAGCGAGGUGGAGUCUAUAGAGCUGAUAGUUGCUAUAACUACUGAAAUUAACAAGGUAUGUAUUCGAUCUCCUAACAGAUAUGGAUGCAAUAGUGGUUUUGCUUUAUCUACGGUUGAGGAGGUUGCGUUUGAAAAUCCUUGUGGAGCAGUUAAAGGUGCAUGUGGAGUUAGUAUUCUGAUGAGGUCCUCAGUUAUGGCAAAGUUCAAGCGAGGCUUGGAUUUGGAUAAUAUCUGUGGCGGUUGAGCCCAUCGGGGACUAUGGGAAAGUAGCAGCAUGGUUUGAAUUUUUUGCGAAGUUAUUGUGACUUGGCUCAAACGUUGAGGCAAGGUGGAGAUUGUUAAAAUAUAUCUCGAGUUUAAGCCCAAUGCGAAAUUCCAGAUUGGAUAUGUUGCGAAUGUUUGAAAUCGAGCAAAGAAGAUCCGAAGAUCAACUUUCCAAAUUUGAAUCUGCGUUUGAGAGUUUGGCCGCUAAAAUAGGAAAGUUCAACUUUCACUUGGAUUUGGAUUUUGUUUAAAACAUAUAGAGAUAUGUUUUGGAUAAAACCGUUUAAGAUAGGAAACAAAAUCCUAUUAAGAAGUUGACAAAAGAAUAAGGGUCACACACACACACACACACACACACACACAUAAUGGAAGAGGGUUGAUUGUGAAGAAUUGGUCUUGAAGCGCCAUCUCAUCAUCGAGUGCUCGAGAGGGAUUUUCUUUGUCGUUCUUGUCUGUGAAUUACAUCCAAUAAGAUUUAGUGUUUGUAGCCAAUUAAAUCUUGUGGUAAGAUUUGCGUUUAAUUCCUUCAUGAGAUUGAAAGAUUAUUUCUUGAGGAAUUUCGGGGCUAAACACUGCAUGCGUUAUUGAGUUUAAUUGGGGCUUGGGAAACACUGAGACAGUGUUUGAGUGACUCGAGUAUGUAAUCUUAUUGUAUUGCUUGGUCUAUUGUGAAAUUUGCUGCUAUUCUUCUUGUGGACGUAGGUCUUUACGACUGAACCACGUAAAUCCGUUGUCCGAUUUAUUUUCUUCUUCGGUCUAUAUUAUUGUUCAAUCGCUCCCCUUUCGCAACAGUAUUGGUGUUUUGGGGGGGGGGGGUAAUCCUCGAAGGGUCAAGUCCUUAAUGCUAUGGUUGAUUGGAUAUGGUGACAAAAAAAGGACAAUGAAGGCCCUGGCAGUUCCAUCAUUUUGUUUAAACAUAUAUAGGACCCAUCUUUGGUCACUAUUGGUGAACAUGAUCCAAUAAUUGGUUUAGCAUAUACAUAGACUCCAUGAUUACUCUCAUCCUUGGUAAACUGAAGUCAUGGCAAGCAUGAUUAACAAAAACCAUCGUGAAAUUUGUUUGGACUCUUGUAAAAUCUCUCCAUGACUCUUUAAGUCGAACUGACUUGAUUUCUACUCUUUACCUUGUAUAAUGCAAGAACAUAAAAACUUCAAAUAAUUAAAAUAUAUAUUUUUAAUUGAAAACUCAAGAUUUAGAAAAUAUUUUCGAGAAACUAAUUGAUUUUUAGCUCAUAAAAAUGAACGGAUCAAUUUUUUUCAUCAUUUACUAAAAUAAAUAGGUAUAAAUUGAUGUUGGCAAUGAAAAAUAUUUUGCGUUGAUUAAUUUUUUUUAAAUGAUAUAACUGAUCAUUUUUUGGAAAAUGUUAUCCAAAAAGUUUUUUUUGAAACAAACACAUCCUUAAACUAUUUUGAUGGAGCAAAACAAGAAGAAUUGACUCAAUUCGAUCCGAAAGAGGAACAUAACGGAAAAUCUGAAAAGAAGCAGAAGUCAAGUACAAAUCCUAGUGUCUGAACCUCCACAGCCAUUCCUCUGCAAAGAGAGGCGAAACGUGAGCAACAAGCAGGCGGUUACAGCCACACCUGGAAAGGAUCACUCAACAAUUCCACACAUCCAAAAAAUUAAGAAAUCUCGAGUUAAAAGAUGUAAAGGUUUGCCUUUGGCAGCGAAGAUGUUUGGCGGUGCCCUACGUAAUAAAAUGAAACCCAGUGAAUGGGAAGAUACCUUAAAUAACCUAAUAUGGGAUCUUCCAACGACAAAGAAUGAUGAGGUUCUCCCCAUUAUGAAAUUGAGCUAUGUCCAUCUUCCUUCCUAUUUGAAGAGAUGCUUUUCUUAUUGUGACGUAUUUCCUAAGGAUUAUGAAAUUGAGAGGGAUGAGCUAGUACUCUUAUGGAUAGCGGAGGGAUUUUUAGAUGGACAAAACACAAAGAAAAAUAAGUUGGAAUUAGGAUGGAAUUACUUCGAUGAAUUAGUAUCUAGAUCAUUUCUUCAAAAAUCAAGUGUUGACACAUCUAAGUUUUCAAUGCAUGAUCUUUUGAAUGAUCUAGCAAAGUCAAUUGAGGGUGGGAUAUGCUUUAGCACUGGGGAGUCUCAGCUAGCAAUUAAUGAAGAUUAUGCAUCUCUUGAGAGAGCUCGUUAUGCAUCAUUCAUCUGGUCGCAGUUUGUUACAUCAAAAUGCUUGAGGCCAUAUCAUGAUAUGAAGGUAUUAAGAAGUUUAAUUCUAGUGCGUAUUGGACCUAGUGGCAACUCUCUCCUUAUAUCCGACAAGGUGCUACAUGACUUGCUAACAAACUUGAAGUUUCUUAGGGUGUUUUCAUUAUGUCAUUGUCGCAUCGUAGAGGUACCGAAUUGUGUUGGUGAAUUAAAACAUCUUCGAUAUCUCAAUUUCUCGAACACUUCUAUCAGAAGGCUACCUGAGUCAAUUGGUGACUUGUGCAAAUUACAAGCUUUGAUCUUAAGAGGUUGUCAUUAGCUUUCAAAGUUGCCUCACGGUAUCACAAAGUUGGUCAGCUUACAGUUUCUUGAUGUUAGAGAUACAGAAAGUCUAAAAGAGAUGCCAUUGGGUAUCAAUAACUUGAAGAAUCUUACUAUCUUGUCCAAGUUUGUGGUAGGAAUAGAGAAAGGGCUACAGUUAAAGGAGUUAAAGAACUUGUCGCAUCUUCAAGGAGAAUUAUUCAUAUUGAAAUUACAAAAGGUGGAAGAUGUUAGAGAUGGUGUUGAUGCUAAUUUGUUUGGAAAGCAAGACCUAAGAAAAUUAUUCUUGCAUUGGGAAAAAGAUUUUGGAAUUCUUCGGAAUGAUAAGCAUGAAUCACAGGUGCUUGAGUCUUUGCGACCUCCCAUUGAUAUUGAAAAUCUCACUAUUUUGAACUAUGGUGGUGCAAUAUUCCCGUCAUGGUUAGAUGGUUCAUCAUAUUCUUGGAUAGUGUCUUUGAGCUUGUGGAACUGUCCUCAUGUCACAUCAUUGCCUUCAUUUGGACAACU
rnacentral:lncRNA from 1 species